rnacentral:lncRNA from 1 species
UACGAGGAAAUAAAAAGGAGCAAGUGCUCGGAACCUCGAAAGAAAAGAAAAGUGAGACGAGAGGUAAAAAUGGACAAGUGUCUGACAGUAGAAUUAGGGGUACAAGAUACCCACCUGAGAGAAAAGAAAAAUAUAGAGCAUCUCAUUCUCCUCAUAAAGUUUCAAAAAGCAAGGAAGGUAUGUAUCCCUUCAAAAGAGCAAAAGUAGAAUUAGACUUCCACCACCAUUGUUUUCACCAUUGUUAUCACCAUCAUCACCAUACACCAUUCAUUCGCCACACAUGCACAUCUUGAUUUGGCUUAUUGAUUUGUUUCUUUGGAUCCAUGGUUUGACUAUGCAAUAAAUGUCUUGUAAGUAUGUAUACUUUAUCUCCCACCUAUGAGCUCCAGAUAUUAAAGCCUUAUUAGAGUAGGGUGAGAGAGAAGGCAAUGUCACUAUGCCUCAUACCACAAAUACUACAUAUCUUGAGAGAAGUCAUAUACCAUCAAUGCCUUGGUAAGGAUCCAAAAAUACCACAAAAGAGAGACCUGAGAGAAUCAUACAAGGAAUUUCUGAGUUUUAUUUGAAAAUCUGCAAAAAACCCCAGAGCUAUAGCUGAUCAAGAAUAAGAGACAUGGCACUUGGCUAGACUGUUCUAUCUUUUAACCACUCAAGACAGAAGUGACAGUUACAAGUCCCAUGGUGAAGGUAAAGUAAGUAAGUUUUAAGUCUUGACAGUUUACUCUAACUCAGAGAUGAGAUCUUAUUUAAAAGCAUGUGUACCGUCAAAUUUUUAAAGAUAUUGCAACUACUUAUGAUCCAUAGCUGAGUCUAUCCUUGCUCAGGGACGAGCAAGAGGUAAGCUUGGGGGAGUUUGUUGAUGGUCCUUAAGUAUCAAAUUUAAUUAUCAAAUAAAUAAAGAAAAGGAUCCAAAUGAAAUCAAGAUCUAGACUUAAGGUUUUAUCUGACAGAAUUCCACGAGUUUUGGUGUUUGUCUAUUUCUGCAGGGGGUUAUCAGGAAAUAUGGAAGAAAGGCCCACAUGUCGGGAUUACGUAAAGAUAUUAACAUGCUGCGCAAUUAUCUUACAUCUAGAAGACUCCAGAAGCCACGAGACCGAAGCAGAGGCGAAACGGGGCCUGACCCUGGGCGGCCGCCCAGUUGGUCAGGGCGACCGCCCACCUCCUGUGUCCAAUCAGUACUCUGCUUUGCGGGAGAUCUCCACCGACCUAAAGGAUGAAUCUAAACCAUACAAUCUAUGUCGGUUUGAUCCAAGGGCCCAUAUUCACUUGAUGGGACUAUAAAACCAGACCCCCUGGCCCCUGGAGGAGAGAGCCUCUCAACCCUAAUUCAUUGUUCCAUCAAGGGAGAAGAAGCCUCUGAUCAAGAUUAGAGCCACCACAUCAAUUAGACAUCUAGAUUAGCAUAGCUACAUAGGAUUAGAACAAGAAGGAGUCAAUCUUCGAUUGGUUUCCAGAUCUGUCAGGAGGAUUCUUGGUAAUUCUCUAAUUGUUCUUCUAAUUGCUUUCUAAUUAUCUUUGUUCUUCAAUAUUAUGAAUAUGACUUUGUUCUACUUCAAUAUAUUGCUUAUGACUUUGCUCUACUUGUUUAUAUUCAAGAUUAUAUUGUUCUUAGUUUAUCAUAGUUAUGUACUUGGCUUAGUUAGAUACGAUCUAUAUACAUGCUUAGGAUCGUAUAGCAUUUAUCCAUCGGAUCCAUGGGUAAAUGAUAGAUAUUGUGUAGGCGUGGUGCUUAUACCGUAUUUAUCUGCGAUUGUACCCAAUAUGCCAGAUCGUGGGGUGGUUUGUGAUAGUGACAGCUUCAUUGAUUCUUAUAUAGUCCCCCUCUCGUGUAUUGGGCUGGCAGAGCAACAUUAUUACAGGGGAGUGAUUGCUAUGUUUCUCAUAUUCCUUGCUAAUAUCACUAUGCAUGGGCGUAGUCUUGUCUCGCAAUGAUUGCUAAGUAUGCUUGCACUAACUAUGAUAAUGCUAGACUAUAUAGUUAAGAAUAACUUAGGGAAUAUUCUUGUAGUUCGUUCUACUACCAUGCUAAUGACUUUCUAGAGUAUCUAAUUGAGGUGCUUAUCAUAUUUAUUAUGUGGCUAGAUCAGAUUAGUUAUCCUUGUCACUAUUAUUAUUUCAUAUAUCCUUUAUGUGACACUUAUCCCUGUAUGAUGAGUUAGAUAUAAUGUUCUCAAUUAUACAUGCAAUGAUAGAUGCUCAAUCUCAUAUUCUAUUCUGUAAUCAAUAGUGAUGAUUGCUAAUCCCUUCCCAGUGGUAAAAAUAUAAAUAACGAUACCUGGAAUACUUCCCGGUUAAAAUGCUGCAUCGAUAUUAAUCUGUGCGCUUGCAGAUCCCAUUCAUUAUUUUUUUAGAAGAGCAAUUGCAUAUUUCAAUACCGCGUCUCUUAUAUCAUGCUGGGGAUGACAACUUGGCUUAAGUGGUGUGAGGGAUAGGUUUGGCAUUUUUAGCACCGUUACUAGAUUAGAGAACUUAGUCUACUUUUGGUAAUGAUGUUAAGAAUACCCAACACGGGGCUGCCAUCUGUAGAAAGACCACAUUUGAGUAAGGGAGAUUAAUUACAAGGAGAGAUAAAGAAUCGUAUUUUCAGAAUUUAAUACCCAAGUAUUGCAUAAAGAAUGUAUGAAUGAUUCAUGAUGCAUGCACGUUCCAUACGUCCUUUCCAAACUUAGAAGGAAGUUCUAACGGUAUAGUCGGUGGCAUACAUACGUGCACUCUUUAUACGCAACUACACGGUCUACACGUUUCGUUGUUAGUGUACCUGCAGAAGAUUUCAUUUCAGCCCAGCCCCACAGUAGUAUAAGUGCAGAAAUGUAAAUCCAAUCAACAAUCAAUCAAGCUAGGUACUCCGGUAUAUAUUUCCGAACAUAUACCGCAGCACACAACCCAAUUGGGAUACACCCACAUAUACAUCAAAUAUGUACACAUGGCUGCACCUACUACCCACAAUUAAGUACCUUCAUAUAUACAUGUGUGAAACAUGUAAAUAUUCCAGUAACCACAACUAACACUCCCCUAGACCGACGGUUGGACGGUCAUGCUCUCACAGCUCACACCUACCGUAGCGUAGAGGCAUAUAGAUCCAUACAUUACCACUCAAGCAAGUGGCAUCCAUACAAUUUCACGCCGUAUGGACGACGAAAGAAAACAAACAAUGCUUACCAUGGCGUAGAGGUAUGUGAUCCAUUCAUUACCACUUAAGUAAGCGGUAUCCAUAUAAUUGCACGCCAUAUGGACGACGAAAGGAAAACCCCCAUGUUAGUAAUAAUAAGCCACCUAGAAGUCCUUAUAUGGGCAUAAAGGGGAUGACCACUGGCAUGGUAUAAGUUAUCAAAAACCUUUUUAAACCACCCUAUCUAUAACCUAAUUUGUCAAAUUAGUUUGAGAAAACAAAAUUCAUUCGUUUUCAAAUACAUCUAUGAUGGUUAUAUGCUUAAUCUUGCUCUGAUGCCAGCUGUAACAGAACCGUCCAAUUUAUAAGAAUUCAAGUGAAUUAGCGACCACUGAGGCAGUCAAGCCAAUGGACUUGAACCCAUAUAAACCCGGUAGUCCGACGAAAUCUCCACAGACCUCGAUUCAACCAACAUACAACCAAGAUUGUACAUGAUCAAGCAUCACCAUCACAGAUUACAACAUUCAACACAGAACAUAGUUUUACAUCACAUUAGAGUUUGGAAGAGGUUAUUACAAACCAUAGCAGUAGCGGAAACAAAAGUAGUUUUGAAACAACUCCAACUCAGUUCAUAAUACAUGCCAGUUCCAUGGUUAAUCCCCACAAAAGCAUAACUGAAGGUAGAAGAGCGAUCACGCCCGUGAUCUAUUCAUCAUCCGCAGCUGGGUGACGACAGUUUGCACAAUAGCCGUGAUAGACGACAUCAUCUGCAACAGGGGUAAAUAAAACCCUGAGUACGAGAAUGUACUCAGCUAGACUUACCCGUCAUAAACCAGAAAUAAAGUGACACCAAGGAGUAUGCAAGGCUGAUCUUAGUGGACUGGUUUGACUCACUUUUUGCAUAAAAGCCUUUGUGGUAAGUAAUUCAUUUACUCAUAUUUCAGCAGCAAGUUCAUUACUUAGCAGCUAUCCACUAGAUUAGCACCUGUUCUAAGCAUACACUUGAGUAAUUAAUCAUUUCAAUAACAACCAUAUCAGGAUUAUCACUUUGCUAUCAACAUUCUCAUCAAAACCAUCAAGUUUAUUUAGUGAAUUCUACGUUGCCGCUGCCCAAGUCAAGUUCUCACUAUCCGGGAGAGACGGCGAUUCGAAUCGAUUCCUAUCCAGCUGGAGGGGUAUUCCUAACACUCACCCAAGCAUACUUCAUGAUGGCAGCUUGGAUCACCUUUAGCACAACUCCGGACCAAUUCGCGGGUCCGUACGGCACCGCACCCCUAGGGACCGCCAAUCUGCCAGGGACAGGACUCUAACCUGACACCUCGGUCUUACGCCAUUGACUCCCCGCACAUCCUUACUACUAACCGGGGUGCGCACUUUAACCAGAUCGGGGUAUCCGGCCGGAGUUGCACUCGUAGGCUUCGCGGUCGGAACGACUUAUCCGGCCAACUAAGUGAUAGGCAUGCGUUCAACAUGACACGGGGAUGUACAGCGAUUCGGUCCUUAAACGACACAGACGGGGAUAGAUUCACACCCAAGACCUCCAUGCCUUGUUGCUGCACUAUCAUCAUCCCGCCCGGUCUCAAGUUCAUUUUUAGCACCUGGUUAUCUCCACGAUAGCAAAUAUAGCCAACCGUGAUCAUCAUCCACCAAACUCUCGCAGGUGACAGGAAAUCACCCGGCUUCUACCGAGCUAAGCAUGGCUAAGCAUCACUUCGAUCCUGGACCUACUUCAGUAAUGUUUAAGGUGGACAAGGUAGUUACUAUGCAGCAAGGGUGUCAUAUCAACGCCUACCACUUAAUGCAACAAUAUAUAACCAUAGUCAUUUGAUAGCCGAUUAUGAUAAUAAAAUAGUAGGAGGCCUAUAAUACUCCGGAGCUUGCCUUCGACGUAGGUAGAGGGACGAUGGUCAGGGCACUCCGGCAAGUCCUCCUCCUCCUCAACUCCUUGAGGUAGCUCCCCUUGCUGUCCUUCCGGCUCCGGCAACUCGUACUCCAGUACCGUUACACCCUUGGAUACACCUAUGGAUGUAUGACAAGGAGAUGAAUAUAGAGAAUGCACAUAUGAUGCAUGAUAUCAUGAUGAGGAGCCAAAUAGACAUGAAACAAGGUAUAACAUGAGUGCAAACUUCUAAGAUUAAGUGAAUCAUGGAAUAACAAGCCAGUGCAUACUUCUUCUCUGGUAGAGAGACUAAUUGGACAAGUUAAACAAAUUCUAGUUAUUCCUACUCAGCCACUGGUUUAGUAGACAAGCCAACCAGUCACAAGUUUUAGCCAUAACUUAAGCAUCAUUUAACCAAACUAAGCAAGUAAGUACUUUCUGGAAAGCUUAGCAAAUUGUCUACAAUUCACUUUUAAACAUCUCAGCAUGAUUCCCAACCGAAAUAUGCUAAAACAUACAAAGUUGGCUGACUGCUCUGGGAAUUCCAGAGAGCAAGCACUUUGCAGCAGCUACUUGAAAUAUGCGUAACUUUUAAACUACUCAACCAAUUACCAUGAAAUUUGGACACGUAUUAGAUCAGUACGUUAGCUACAAGUUUGUUGUAGACAAGUUUCCCAGAAAAUAACAUCUUUAAUUAGUUCUCAAGCAUUUUCUAUCAGCUACACAGAAAUGCUCUAGGAAAGGCAUAAAUAGCCAAAGAUAAUAUUUUGCACAUGUUGAGAAUGUAUCAAAGGAACAAUCCAAUUGCACUAGUAGAUAGAACAUAUCUAAGAAACACCAGAAAACAUCAUGGUAAGGUCUAAAACUAUUUCUAUCAUCACCUUUUCCAUUUAUUUAAUUAUUAAGGUGAUUUAAUGAACAUAUACUCCAAGUGUUCCAAAAAUCCUAAGAAACUUACAGCAAGCUACUUAUGCUAACAUAAGAUCACUGUAAAAUUUUCAGAACAUUUGCACAUACACAUUGUGAGGUAUAAAAAUAACAAGCUAGUAAAGGCAUGCAAGGCAUAAAUGUGAAACCCUAUCAAAACGUGUCAAACAACAGAUUUCAGAUUUUUCUUAGCUUUGUCCACACAUAAGUACAACACUCAGCAAGUUUCAUCACAAAAGGAGUUAUAACUUAAUUACUAAAAAUAUCACAAGAAACUCCUAUUUAAGCAAGAAUUAUUUUUAACUUCUUAACUAGGCUUCCAAAAAUCAUGAAAAAUUUAUCAGAGCCUGUUCAUAACAUAAGUAACAACUCCCUAAAUUUGCAUGGCCAGCAGAUGACUAGAUCUCAAGAUAUAAUUACCCAAUGAAAAUCUAAGAUUAAUUUAUAUCUAUUUAUUUCUGCAAAAACAUAGCAUGUUUCAUAUUUUUAUUAAAAACUAGGCUUGAGCUGGAACCAAGCAAAAUUGGAAGCACCACAUUUGGAUCUCUAAAACUCCAGAUAUGAAUUUUACAAAAACAGCUUUGGCUCUGCACAACAGUAACCCAGGGGGUGACACAGAGAGGCUGACACCCGGGACCCGCGCGUUAGUGAGACAGAGGCAGGGGAGAUGCUCGUCGCCGGCGAAGCUCAACGACGACGAGGUCUCGGGCGGAUCCAAGGGCACCAACGUGUUCCUCUCAUCAAGGCGACUCUGUUGACCUACUUUACGCGCGCUCUACUGGACCCUAGGGUGCUCGCCGUCGGGAAUGGCGGAGCGGCGGCGCUGCGCGGCGGUACGCCGGCGGAUCUAGGCAAUGGUGAUGUGGUAGAGCGUCAUGCCGAGCAUCAGUGAACCAAGGGGAAGCGAUAGGAACAAGAAUGGAGGAAAAUGGUGGAGCAGAGAAGCCUGGCCACGUUGCCGGUGAGCUCGAGCGGAACUCCGGCGAGGAAGAACUGCUCGGAGCUCGGCAAUGCCGCCUUACCCGUGCUCGACAGUGGCCAAGGAGGUGACGCCGAGGUAGAGGAGGCUCUGGCGAAGCUUUUGGCGGGCUGGCUUGGCCGGAGACAGCGAGAAGAGCUCGGGCGACGCGGCCGUUCCACGGCGGAGCUCGCCGAGGCGAAAUGGAGAAGGGAGAGGGCGCUGGAGAGGCGAAAUGAGGACGGCCGGGGCUCGGGGUGGCGUCGUGGCGUCCAAGUGAAGGCGCCGGGGCUGACAGGCGGGGUCGCCGUCGACGUACGGCCGCCACGGGUCAUCCACGCUUCGGCCGGCCGGCGACUGACGAAACUGAAUCGCACGAUUCAGUCGUCGUCGACCGUGUCUGAAACCCAAAGUUCACCGGCGUUUUACUCUCAGCUCACUCGAUGGUUUUGGCUCAAACUUGUUCCUUUGGAUAGAGCUACAUGAGUUCUACAACUUUGGUUACAAGAUCAAAGUCUAACUUGGUCUGGAUUUCAAACUACAAGGCUCCCAACAACCCUUGGUCGAAACUGCGUGAUCCAACACUUAGCCAAAUUCGGCUAAGUGUGAAAUCAGCCCUGAUUUUUGGCUUGUGAGUGACUUUUGGAAGUGUUCCAGGCUUUUUCAUAAAAGUCAUCAACAAAACUUUUGUAGCUUAUGAAAUUCUCUACAACUUUGUUUCAGGUGUCAAAGACAUGCAAGAUCUCUAACACCAGUUUCAUAGUUUCAUAAAACAUCUUUGAAAAGAGGUCUAGGAGGGUCAAAAAGGUCAUUCUAGGGGUAACCAUGACUUAGGGGCAUAUUUGGCCAAAACCUUCAACAUGAACUUUGUUCCAAAUGAUAUUCUAAACAUGAAGUAUUUUGGAAGACAAUGUACAAUUGUUUGCAUUGGCUACCCCUUAGUCACUCAAUUCAAGUCACACAAGCAAUUUAAUCAUGUAGUGCAUAUAGCAAAUGGCAUAUGAUCAUGGUAUGAUGCUCAUGAGUGAUCAUGAUGAUGCUUAUGUUGAUGCAAUGCUCAUGGUUAACAUGCAAGCUAACACUAGGAGUGUUACACUGGCGGUGCCUGCCGAACCCGCGAAUUGGUCCUGGAUAGUGUAAUAUGGUGAUGUGUAGCUCACUUGAUCAGUGAGUGUGGUUUGUGUGGGGAAUAAACUCGCCAGCUGGUUUGAAAUCGAUUCGAAUCGCCAUCGCUCCUGGAUAGUGAGCACUUGACAUGAGCUUCGUCCCCGUAGUAAGAACUAUGGAACACUUGGGUUAUAAUGAAAGGGUUUAUGAAUGCUAUGAUGAAGUACUAGCAUAUCCCUAUACUUGCUUGUAAUAGUGCAGGUGCAAACCUAGAUGAUAGGUAAUGAUACUUUCAACUUGAGCAAAUUAAAAGAAGGAAGACUUAUGUAGGUUAUGAUAGUAAAAUCCUGCGGUUUUGCAAAAUGGUUGUUAGCUACCCCACUAUAUAGCCUUCAUGAUCCUUGAUGAGUCUUUAUUUUAAGUUUAUGACCGGUAAGUCUAGCUGAGUACCUUCUCGUACUCAGGGUUCUACUCCCAUGUUGUUUUGCAGAUGGUCAAAUGUACUAUGGUUAUUGCAUCCUCUGUCUGUACCCAGCCAUGGGUGAUGACUAGAUCAAGGGCGAUGGUCACUCCGUCUCUUCUUUUGCUUUUGUGGGAAUGACCAAACUAUGGCACUGUAUCAGACUAAGCGUGUGUGUUGUAUUUUCGAACUAUGAAGCUUCCGCCACUUGAAGAACUUGGUUUGUAAUAAUUUUAAGAACUUCGAUGUAUUCUAUGAAUGUUGUAAUCUGGAUGUAUUUGUGAAUGGCGACCGCUAAACUUAUUACGAUCUUGGCUGUUGUGCGAUGUGUGGUUUGAAAUCCUUCGAGAUUUCAUGGACUACCGGGAUUAUAUGGGCUUAAGCGUGAUGGUUUGACUAUGCAAAUGGUCACUGUUAGGCUUAAUUUCUCAUAAUUUGGUCGGUUCUGUUACAGCUAGCAUCGGAGCCAGGUUUAGCGAGUUACUGUUCAUAAGUACGUUCUAAACAAAAAUCUAAACCGGUUUAAUAAAAGAUUUUAUUAAUUAAUCAAUAGUGAUCAAGGUGUUAAACCAAGUUUUGGGAAAACUAUCUAGUGUGCCAUUCUCAUAUCCUUUAUGCCCAAUUAAGGACUCUAAGGUGGCUAGUUAAGUACUGACUUGGGGGUUAAUGCAUCAUAUUUGUAUUUCGUCGCUCAUACGGCGUGCAAUAGUAUGAGUACCAUUCAUUUGAGUGGUAAUGUAUGGAUCCCUUUUUCCUCUACGCCACGGUAAGUGGGAGCUGUGAGAGCAUUAUCGGAUACACUGCCGGUCUAGGGGAGUGUUGUUAGGUACUGUGUCAUGCACACAUGUUUGGUGUGUCUUGGAAACAGUACUGCAUGUUGGGAAUUCCGUCCUGAGAGGCGAUGCCGUCAUUAGGGCGAUGAUGUGGGUAGUGACACGUCAUAUGCAUGGACGGGUGUCUGUGUAUGUGGAGUGUAUAGUUUAAAAUUCUUGUUCUGCACGAUCAUACUGUGGGUGGGCUGAAAUGAGUUUUCUGCAGGUACACUAACCACGUUCUCGCUUAGAACGCUAGUUACGUUAUAAGAGAACGUUGUGUGCCACCGCAUAUACCGCUUAGUGUUAACUUUUGUUUCUAAGUUUGUGAGAUCAUAAGUUCGUGCAUGCAUCAUGUUCAUUUCGUAUCAUUGCUUACUUUCCCCCUUAAUUUAAUCAGUCCCAAUUCUAAAUAAAAUAAUUAAAGGUAAUCCUCGCUCUUACCCACGGUAUUCCAUUUGCAGCAGAUGGCACGCACUAGGCUCACCGCUCGCAAGUCCACUGGUGGGCGGGCCCCUCGCCAUCCGUUGGCAGCCAGGAGCUCGCGACAUAAGAGCAAGUUCCUGGAGGAGUUUGGGAUGCCCACUUUGCUUUGGAGGGUGCUCAGUUCGAUGGGGUAUCCCGAAGGAAGGGAGCCUCGCUACUAUUGGGAUAAGGAGCCGCUUGGUGACGAGACCCUGGUGGGGAUCGAGGCAGUUGUCCCUACCAAUGGAGGAGACCCUGCUUCGGGCGGCUGGGUGUACGAGUCCCGAGGUGUCACGCCUUUCCACGGUGCCAGCAGGGCAGCUUUCGCAGUUCUGAGGAACCUCAUGGAGAGGUUUCCACAGGAGCUGGCCCACGCCUUCGCUGGGGUGUUUCCCCGGGGUGACCCCUACACUUCGGUGUGGGAUCAGUCUGAGGUGAAUGCUCUAGAGAGGAGUGCGGAUGAGGACCAGCACAGUAACGGUGCAGCUAUGAGUGCCAUGUAUGCGUUGAUGAAGACCUAUGGAGGCCUGGAGCGUUGUUUGGGUCGCUUGUCCGGGUCUCUUCUCACCGUCCAGGACAAGAAGCAUCAGUUGCAGCGUGAGUUUGACUCUGAGGUUGAGAGGCUACAGGCAGAGUUGGCCCGUGUGACCAGAGAGAGAGACCAGGUAGUCCAGAAGAACAGUGAGCUGAGUCAGGACCUGCUUGCAGUGCGAGAGCAGAGGGAUAGGGUGGGAACUGCGAGCGCAUGCUAGUCCAUGUGCUUGGACAGAGGAAUGAAGCUUGGCACGAGGAGGACACUUUGAGGGCCCGACAGCUAGAACUAGAGCAGCAGCUAGCUAAUGCGGAGGAGUACAAUGAGAACUUGCAUGAGGAGAUCCACCAGCUGCAUAACCAGCUCCACCCUCACCACCUGCCUGGAGCAGCUGAGCUAGACUCUGAGGACGAGAUGGACGCGGAUCCCGAGAUAGGAGCAGCUGCUAGUGGUGAUGAGGACGAGGAGGGCUCCGGCAUGGACAGUGAUCAUAGCGACUAGAUGCUAGGGCUUUAGAGCUAGUCCUUCUUCUUUUGUGUUGUAUGUUGCAUGGCAUGUCGUGUACUUUUGGAUCUGGGAUAUGUAAAACUUUAUGAGUUAAUGCUGAAAGUCCAGUGUAUGUAUGCUGGCAAGUUGGAUGUACGCGAACCUUGUUGCGUGAACGUUAAGCAAUCUGUUAGUGAUGUUGUGCGUAGAUGAUGAAUUGUUGUGCCUCUGUUUUUUUGUGCGAAUUUAUUCCCUCAGUAAAUUCAGUACGGCAUGAUUCUACACAUUUCUACCGUUGAUGGCAACUCCUAACGAUUGCUUAUCAUUGACGUAUGCAGAUGGUGCAAACACGUGGCGGGGGUAACAGCAACCCGGGCCUUGGAGCAGGUACAUCCGGAGGUGGGGCUCAACGGAAUGAGGACAGAGCACCAACACCGCCACCACCACCGCCUCCUCCGUACACUGCGGACGUGUUUUUCGCGCAGUUUUUGGGGAGCCAAGGUAACAUGGAACAGAUGCAACGCAACAUGGAAGAGGCUCUGCGCAACUUAGCUGACAACACCCGUCGUGGGGAUAACCAGGGCGGCCGAGAAGUCAACCAGUACAGUUCGUUCAAGGACUUCAUGGAUACCAAGCCACCAAUCUUCAAAGAGGCUUUGGAACCGCUCGAGGCAGAUGAGUGGAUCAACACAAUGGAGCAGAAGUUUCGUCUUCUCCGUAUGACAGAAGAACUUAAGGCUGAGUAUGUGGCACAUCAGUUGCAAGGACCUGCUGGGAUUUGGUGGUCCCAUCACCGUACCACCUACCCAGAGGGGACCCCAAUUACCUGGAACCGCUUCACCACCACUUUUCGGGGAAAUUAUAUUCCUCCGGGGUUAGUUGAAAUGAAGAUCGGGGAGUUCAUGAGGCUGUCCUAGGGGACGAAAUUUGUGAAGGAAUAUCUACACGCUUUCAAUAAUCUCGCUCGUUACGCCCCCGAGUUUGUGAACACGGAGGCCAAGAAGAUUUCUAGUUUCCAGAGAGGCUUGAAUCCAAAGAUGCUGAAGACCAUGGGUACAGGAGCUAGGGCUACCUUCAAUGCCUAUAUCAGUGACUGUCUCGCCCAGGAGAACCACAACAACAACUACAGUGCAUCCAAGUCACCUAAGAGGGCUUUUGAAGCCGGAUUAUCCCAGUCCAGGGCACCCGUGACAGGGCGACAGCAGUAUCGUCCCCCUGCCCCAGGUGCUAGGUUCGGACCGUCGCAGAGAAGGAACAUCGGGCAUCCAACACAGCAGAAGCCGUACAAGGUGGCGAUAGCCCCUGCCAUGCCAAAGGCAAUUCAAGCUGCAGCACCUGCCGUCAACAAUGCGCCCAAGGGUCCGUGCUAUAACUGCCACAAGAUGGGGCACUUUGCUAAGGAAUGUCCCUACCCCAAGAGGCAGCAGCCAACCUAUCCAGCUCGUGUGCACCAUACCUCGAUUGAGGAAAUCCCGGAAGGAGAACCGGUAACAGUUGGUAUGUUUCCUGUCAACCAACAUCUUGUAGUUGUUUUGUUUGAUUCUGGAUCAUCGCAUUCAUUCAUGAGCCAAGCAUUUGCACAAAAGCAUAGUCAACCAGUUACAGAUCUGGGUUAUGGCUACCGCAUCAGCUCAGUGGGGGCAGAUGUGUUGACCAAUAGAGUGGUUCGAGGGGCAACCCUGGAUAUAAGUGGCCGAGUAUUCCGAGUGAAUCUAGUGGUCAUGCCUGGGUUAGUUUUGGAUGUUAUUAUGGGUAUGAACUGGAUGAGAGAAUGGGAUGCCGUCAUAGAUACUGGGAAGAGGAUGUUAUCUCUCAGAGAACCGCAGGGCAGUAGCUCCUUUCAAGUACCUCUGCCCCGUCAUCUUGACUUUGCUAGCAUCUCUUGUGCUACGCACGUGGUUCCAUUACCACAGAUCCCAGUAGUCUGUGAGUUCCCUGACGUUUUUCCUGAGGAAUUACCAGGACUUCCCCCGGAUAGGGAAGUAGAGUUUGCAAUCGAGUUGAUACCAGGUACAGCACCAAUAUCGAGAAGGCCGUACCGGAUGCCACCAAACGAACUCGCUGAGUUGAAGAAUCAACUAAAGGAGUUACUGGAUAAAGGGUUCAUCCGGCCAAGCUCGUCGGAAUGGGGUUGUCCAGCGUUGUUUGUGAAAAAGAAGGAUCAGUCAUUGCGCAUGUGCGUGGACUAUCGUCCACUCAAUGCAAUGACAAUCAAGAAUAAGUAUCCUUUGCUAAGGAUUGAUAUCUUAUUUGAUCAGUUGUCCAAGGCAAAAGUGUUUUCUAAGAUAGACUUGAGGUCUGGGUAUCACCAAAUCAAGAUUCGUCCGCAAGAUAUCCUAAAGACUGCUUGUUCCACCAGAUAUGGGUUGUAUGAGUAUCUUGUCAUGUCCUUUGGAUUGACGAAUGCUCCUGCAUUCUUUAUGUAUCUGAUGAAUUCAGUCUUUAUGCCAGAAUUGGAUAAGUUUGUUGUGGUGUUUAUCGAUGAUAUUCUGGUUUAUUCAGAAAAUGAGCAAGAUCACGCCGAGCAUCUGAGAAUCGUGCUGACACGAUUACGAGAACAUCAGUUAUAUGCCAAGUUCAGCAAGUGUGAGUUUUGGUUGAAGAAAGUUCCUUUCCUAGGGCAUAUUCUGUCUGAAGAAGGGAUUGCUGUGGAUCCGUCAAAAGUGCAGGAAGUCAUGGACUGGAAGGCACCAACUUCUGUCUCGGAAGUUAGAAGUUUUCUUGGUCUGGCCGGGUAUUAUCGUCGUUUCAUACCUGACUUCUCCAAGAUUGCUAAGCCCAUGACAAGUUUGCUACAAAAGGAUCACAAGUUUGUCUGGACGGAAGGGUGUGAGUUAGCCUUCCGCACCUUGCGAAAGUUGCUAACCACUACUCCCGUUCUGGCACAACCCAAUAUAGAGAAGCCUUUUGAUGUGUUUUGUGACGCAUCGAAGAGUGGCCUGGGGUGUGUGUUGAUGCAAGAUGGCAGGGUGAUAGCUUAUGCUUCCCGACAAUUGAGAAAACACAAGGUCAACUACCCAACGAACGACCUCGAGUUAGCAGCAGAAGUGCACGCUUUGAAGAUUUGGAGACAUUAUCUGCUGGGAAAUAAGUGUCACAUUUAUACCGAUCAUAAGAGUUUGAAGUACAUCUUCACUCAGUCCGAGCUAAAUAUGAGGCAAUGACGAUGGUUAGAGUUAAUCAAGGACUAUGAUCUGGAAGUUCACUAUCAUCCAGGCAAGGCUAAUGUAGUAGCAGAUGCGUUUAGUCGUAAACCGCACCAUCAAGUGGUUCAACCGUUGUUUGAAGAUGGGUUCAAUCUUAUGCAUCCUGAGGUCUUAUGUCACAUACAACUCAGUUGUACACUCGAGAGUCAAGUCAUUGAAGGAUAGAAAACAGACAAGGGUAUUUUCCACAUCAAAGAGAAGAUCAAAGAUGACCCAAAAACUCAGUUUCGGGUUGAUGAGAAAGGGGUACUGUGGUUUCAACAUCGGUUAGUAGUUCCGAAAGAUCGUGAAUUGAAGAAUCGCAUCAUGGAUGAAGCCCAUCUCUCUAAGCUUUCUAUUCAUCCUGGCAGUAGCAAAAUGUAUCAAGAUCUAAGACCCCACUUUUGGUGGACCAAGAUGAAGAAAGAAAUAGCCGCAUAUGUAGCCCGUUGUGACAUGUGUUGCAGAGUUAAGGCCAUCCAUAUGAAACCUGCAGGUCUGUUGCAACCGUUAUCAGUUCCAGAGUGGAAAUGGGAAGAGGUCAGUAUGGACUUUAUCACAGGUUUACCAACCAUGAGGAAGGGGAAUGACUCGAUUUGGGUAAUCAUAGAUCGAUUAACCAAGUCGGCUCAUUUCAUUCCAGUUAAAAACACAUACAGACCUCCCGAGUAUGCCGAUAUAUAUAUGGCUGAGAUUGUCAAGUUGCAUGGUAUUCCCAAGACCAUCAUAUCAGAUAGAGGACCACAGUUCACCGCUCACUUCUGGGAGCGAAUGCAUAAGAAUUUGGGGACCAGUCUGAUAAGAAGCACGGCGUAUCAUCCCCAGACUUCAGGCCAAACAGAGAGGCUAAAUCAAGUGUUAGAAGAUAUGCUGAGGGCCUGUGUGCUAUCGUCCAAGGGAUCAUGGGAAUCAUGGUUACCUCUGGCUGAAUUCUCCUACAAUAACAGUUAUCAAGAGAGCAUCAAGAUGGCCCCGUUCGAAGCUCUGUAUGGUCGGAGGUGUAGAACUCCGUUAAACUGGGUUGAACCUGGGGAAAGGAGAUACUAUGGUAUCGACUUCAUGAAUGAGCCCGAGAAGAAGGUGCAAAUCAUACAGCAGCAUAUGCAAGCAGCGCAAUCACGACAAAAGAGUUAUGCUGAUAGGAGAAGAAGGCCACUUGAAUUCAAAGUAGGUGACUAUGUGUACCUCAAGGUUACGCCAAUGAAGAAAGUUCAGUGUUUCCGAGUUCGAAGCAAGCUUGCACCCAGAUAUGUGGGACCGUACCAAAUACUAGAAAGGAAAGGCCCCGUGGCCUACAAGAUUCAGUUACCUGAAGAGUUGAGCUCGAUCUUUCCAGUCUUCCAUGUGUCGCAACUGCGGAAAUGUUUGAAAGUACCUGAGCAAAGAAUUGAACCUCGAGGGAUCAAAAUAAAAGCAGACUUAGAGUAUAAGGAGCAACCAGUGGGAAUUGUGGAUACCAAGGAACGGGUAACCCGAAACAGAAUUGUCAGAACAUAUAAGGUGGUGUGGAGUCAUCAUGACGAUAGGGAUGCCACCUGGGAAACAGAGGAUUACUUAAAAACAAUUUAUCCAAAAUUUCAAAAGAAAUGGUUAGUAACCCAAAAUCUCGGGAUGAGAUUUCCCUAAGGGGGGAAGGGCUGUAACACCCUAGGUGUUAAGCAUGCAUUUAGCCCUAUCACAACAUGCAUAAGCAUUCUCAUCAAGCAUAGCAUCAUGAGCAUGUCAUUCAUCCCCAAAACAUGAUUUUAUGUGCUUUAUUUUAUGUGUUUUAAUUAUGUUAAAAAUAUGAUGCUUUCUUCUAAAAAUGUGAAAUAUUCAAACUAGGUUGAUUUAUGUGUAAGAAGAAUUAAGAAAAUUUUUGUGUAAUUUUUGGAGCUAUAGAAUUUGAGAAAUGGAAUUUAUACAAAAAUUCCCAAAUUGAAUUUAUUUAAAAAAACUAGAAAUAGUUUUAAUUUGUAAUUCAAAUUCUAUUUGGAAUUUGGUCUUGCUUAUUAAAACAAAGUUGUAGGGUUUUUCUUUUGGAACAAUUUUACUUUUGGGAGCAAGAGGUGAAAAUGAUUUUAAAAUUGGUACAAAUGAAUUUAGAAGAUAUUUGGAGAAAAGAAAUUCAAAAAAAAAAUAGAAAAGGGGCAGGCGCUGCCGGGCCAACCCCGCCUCCCUUUCGGCCCAGCAAGCGGCCCGGCCUGCCUCCCCCUCCCCCUCUCUCCCGCGCGCGGACGCCCGCCUCGCCCCAGCCAGCGUCGGCCACGUGGCGGCCGUACGCCGGCGAGGAGCGCGCCGCGGCUGGACUCCAACCCCCCCUGGUCGGGACGCCGGCUCGGGCUCCCAGGCCAUUCCCUCCCUUCUGUCGCCCGUGCCCUUCUCCUUCCUCCCUCCGCUCACGAGUGCGACCGAGCUGUAGAGCUCCGCCGCAGCGCCAUCGCCGGAGCAGCUCCGCUGCUCACCGCCGGCCACUCCAGUGACCAAACCUCGACACCGAAGCCACCAGCGCCUUCGCCAUCGUUAGGGUAAGCUUAUACGAGUGUUCUACCGAGGUGAGAGUCCGUUGAGCGCCGUGAAUCACUCGCCGGAGUUACCCCGAGCUCGCCGGAGUUACCCCGCCGCGACGGAUCUUGCGUUUCUCUGCCUCUUUUCGCUGGUUCUUGGUUGCGCUAGGUCAGUAGGGUGGUGAGGAAGCUCGGAGAGCCGUUUGCGCGCGCUCUACCGCACCGGAGCGGCCUGGCCACGGCGAGCAGCGCCGCCGUGCCGCCAUGCAUGCUCGUCGGAGGUGUUCCGGUCAUCCUCCGGCCAAUCCGAGGGUACCGCUGGGUGCGCCUCGCUGCGGGGAGCACGAUGGUGCUCACCCCGUGGCCGGAGACCUCACCGCCGGCGAGAUCUGCUCGUCGGAGGUGAGCUCCCUCUCGGUCUCGCUGAUCGGUGGGGUCAGAGGCCCACUGUCAGUCGUAGGGGGACCCCGGUGGGUGUAGAUCUGGAUGUGUCUAGCCUUUUUCGUCGGUUUUCUUGAAUAAAUGUUUUCCAGAAAUUGAUUCAAAACUUGUAAAAUUCAUAUCUUGAGUUCUACAGCUCCAAAUUUGAUGAAAUAAAUUUUGUUGCGCUCUAUAUUUUCAGAUCUACAGCCUGAUGUAAUUGCAUGUCAUGCUUGAGUAACUUUUCUGUAUAAAUAUAUUUAAUCCAUGUUUUUGCUAAACUUGGAAAAUGCACAAUAAUCCAAAUAUGACUCAGAAAAAUAUGAAACUUAUUUUAUGGGCUUUGCAUGUAUGUUAACUCACUGGGAAAGUAUUGCUACACAUUAUUUGGUGUGUAAAUGAAUUUAUGGUAAUUUAAAUGCUUGCAUGGCAGUGGUUUAUGAUUUUUAGUAAUUAUUUGGAUCAUGCAAUUAAUCUGGAAAUUUUUGUGGUUGUUUCUUAUGAUAUUAGACACAUUGUAAAAAUAUGAAAUCUGUUGUUUAACACUUAUGUCACAGUGGAGUAAUUAUACUUACCUUAUUAAUUAAUCUUGUGAUUUUUGUAGCUCAAAAUAAGUAUCCAAAAAAAUUAUGAAAAAUUUACAGUAGACUCUAUGGUUGGCUGGUAGUCUCCUGUAAUUUUUGUGGAAUUUAUUGAUGAACAGAACUGCAUGUAAAUUUUAAUGAGCCUAGAAAUGAAUAAAGAAAAUUAUGAAUUGUUGUAUAUAUAGGUUGAAUAGAAUAAGUUUGGGUUUGGUGUAUCUUUGAAGCAACUUGUGGGUUUCUGGUCACAUUUGAAAAAUAAUUGUAGAAGAGAAUGCAAUAGAUGUUUGAUUCAAUUGUUUGUCCUUGGAUGAUGUUGACUACCUUGUAAUGAGCAUGACCAAGUGUAUCACCUAUGCAUCAUGUCAUGAUCCUUUGGUACCUUCUCAUAUGAGCAUCCACUCGGGCAUCUCGCACUUCACUCAUGAGCACACAUGCAUCAUACAGGCUCGCACGAGAACGAGGUGGGACCCGAGGAGCCAAAGGAGAUUCAGGAGCAGGAACCUCCGGAAGCACAGGAGUCCGGAGAGGAACUGCAGGAGUGUCCGGAUCACCGACCAAGCACGUUUGAGAAAGGCAAGCCCCGGAGCAUUCUAAGUCUACCUAUUCUCGCUAACCUACCGGGCAUACUAUACUUGUUCUACUAUAUUGCAUCUAAGUGAUAGGAAUUGCUGAUACCGUUGCUGCAUAUGUACUCCUUGUUAUCCCUACUCGUUUACCUGCCUUGUCCUAUGUAGAUAGGCACGGAGUCUAUGCUUAGCUUGCUUAGUCCGGUAGAAGUCGGGUGAUUCCCUGUCACCUGCGAGAUAUAGGUGGAUACCUGCUUGCUUAAGCAGUGGUUGCUUGGGGGAAAAGAAUAACCAAGUGUGGAAUGUAAUUGGAGACCGGGCAGGGUCUUGUGGUGGGUUGACCAUAGUGCCCCUGCCUGUGUCGAUUAAGGACCGAUCGUUGAUGGCCCUCUUGUCAUGUUGAACGCAUGCCCCACACUUAGCUGGAAGGAUAAGUCAUUCCGACCGCGAAGCCUGAACACUAUCCGGGCCGGAAAUCGAGCCACCAUGCGCUGUAUUGGUGAUGGUUGAGGAGAACGACGAGGGCGCGGCGCGCAACCUUGGUAUACCUUGGAUACCUCGGCUGUCGGAACGGUCCUCGGGUACUGGCGGUGCCUGCCGAACCCGCGAAUUGGUCCUGGAUAGUGUAAUACGGUGAUCUGUAGCUCACUUGAUCAGUGAGUGUGGUUUGUGUGGGGAAUAAACUCGCCAGCUGGUUAGAAAUCGAUUCGAAUCGCCAUCGCUCCUGGAUAGUGAGCACUUGACAUGAGCUUCGUCCCCGUAGUAAGAACUAUGGAACACUUGGGUUAUAAUGAAAGGGUUUAUGAAUGCUAUGAUGAAGUACUAGCAUAUCCCUAUACUUGCUUGUAAUAGUGCAGGUGCAAACCUAGAUGAUAGGUAAUGAUACUUUCAACUUGAGCAAAUUAAAAGAAGGAAGACUUAUGUAGGUUAUGAUAGUAAAAUCCUGCGGUUUUGCAAAAUGGUUGUCAGCUACCCCACUAUAUAGCCUUCAUGAUCCUUGAUGAGUCUUUAUUUUAAGUUUAUGACGGGUAAGUCUAGCUGAGUACCUUCUCGUACUCAGAGUUCUACUCCCAUGUUGUUUUGCAGAUGGUCAAAUGUACUAUGGUUAUUGCAUCCUCUGUCUGUACCCAGCCAUGGGUGAUGACUAGACCAAGGGCGAUGGUCACUCCGUCUCUUCUUUUGCUUUUGUGGGAAUGACCAAACUAUGGCACUGUAUCAGACUAAGCGUGUGUGUUGUAUUUUCGAACUAUGAAGCUUCCGCCACUUGAAGAACUUGGUAUGUAAUAAUUUUAAGAACUCCGAUGUAUUCUAUGAAUGUUGUAAUCUGGAUGUAUUUGUGAAUGGCGACCGCUAAACUUAUUACGAUCUUGGCUGUUGUGCGAUGUGUGGUUUAAAAUCCUUCGAGAUUUCAUGGACUACCGGGAUUAUAUGGGCUUAAGCGUGAUGGUUUGACUAUGCAAAUGGUCACUGUUAGGCUUAAUCUCUUAUAAUUUGGUCGGUUCUGUUAUAGAUAUAAUCAUGGGAUAAGUUGGACAACAAAAGAUAUGUUUCAAGGGGGAGAGAUCAAACAUGGACAUGGACCAAGAGGGAGCAACACUGAAGGAAAAAAGAUGGAUCAAAAUUCUUGAACAUGAGAAGCACACAAGUAGGGGGAGCAAGCUCAUGAACAUUGAUUGUUUGCAUUUGAUUUGUGCAUAUUCAUGUGCUUGCUUGCAUUGCAUAAGUUUCAAAAUACAAUAUGCAUGCUUGUGUGGUGUAUGCUAGUUAUAGAACUUGAUUGAUGAUAUGAAAACUAGCAUGCAUAGGUUGGUAGCUAGACUUGUGUUUAUCAAGUAAAAACUAGACCCUUGCUUAUAAUGUUGAUCUCACGGGGUUUCUAGUAUUUUGGUUGUCUAGCUACACAUGGUGCUAAGGAUGGUGUACAUUGAAUGCUUCAAAUGAUAUCAAAUUUGGUAUCGAACUACAAAGGUUUACUCUAUACACCUUAGCACUUAGUAGGGUUUUAUGGUGCUUAUCCAAUUCUUGACAUAGAGCUUAAAUGUUGGAUAAGUAGCAUAAAAUCCAAAACAAGUUAGCAACUUACACUUGUGUGAAGUGCUAGCUUGAAAAAGCUUAAUUUCCAUAUCUUUGUAGAGUUGUCAUCAAUUACCAAAAAGGGGGAGAUUGAAAGGUCCUUGUUUGGUUUUGGUAAUUGAGUGACAACAUAGGUGGACUAAUAGUGUUUAUGUGAGAUACACAGGAGAUUAGUCCACAGGUGAUUAUGUGAUGAUGAAGGAGCUCAUUGCAUAUGAGACAUGACAUGGAGUCAUGUGACCAAGGUGGAGAAGAUCAAGAUGAGGCUUGGCUCGACGGACCGGUUCCGAGAGUGAAGGGCAAGUCGGAGGCUUUGAAGCGAGGGACCGCGUGUGACGGUGAAGAUUGAGCAAGACUUGGCACCGAUGGACCAAGGCAAUGGAGAAGAGCAAGUGAGGUCAAAAUCGAUGAACCAAUACGGUCACGUGAUGAUAUGAAGUGGAUCAUAUCAUUUGGUGAUUGGUUGGCGCAUGUGUUGCGUCAACAUUGGAGGAGAUGGAAUGGAAUGCGCAAGGCAAAGGUAUAACCUAUAGGGCAUUUCAUUUCACCAGUCUAAGUUGAGUAGAGAAGUGCUUGACCAGAUUUAGGAUAGAUAACCGUACUAUAAAGAGGGGAAAUCUUUAAUUGCCAUGGUUAUCUAGUGCCACUAAGUGUGAAGUCUCAUUUGCAUAUACCUAGCGCUUAGUGACGUGGUGAGUUGCAUGAGAAAGCCUAUAAAAAUGAUUGUGAAAUGCUAACACACAUGCACAUGGUGGUGUACACUUGAUGGUGUUGGCACAUUUGCAAAGGAGAAGGUGUUGGAGUUGAUUUUGAUCAACUUGGAGAAGAGAGAGAGGAUUUUCGGUGUUCUCCGGACAUUAGGAUGGCUUUUAGAUUGAAAUACUGCUUUGAUCCAUUAUGAUUUGGAUUGAGUAUCCAUAUGGAUUGUAUAGCCCUCUGAGUAAGCUUUCGGAAAUGUCCAAGAUCAUCGAAUUCGGAGUUCGGAGCUAAAAGUUAGCAUCCUAACAAGUUUUGAGAUGGUGCUGAGAAUGCAGGACCGGAAGUUCCAGUGGGACUUCCGGUGGUACUUUCGGUGCCUGACCGGAAGUUCCGGUCAGCCUGACAGGAAGCUCCGGUUGGGCUGUGAGAGGUGCGCUCGUGUUUGAGAAAACAGUUCCGGUGUCUGACCGGAAGUUCCGAUCAAUGACCAGAAGUUCCGGUCCAUAACCGGAAGUUCCGAUCCAUGAACGAAAGACCGCUUAGGAGCCUUUGCGCAUGCCCUCGCGCGUCAGGAUUCACUUCCGGUGGAACUUUCGGUGGGUCCGAGUCUCUCACAACGGUCAGAUCUGGUUGGCCAGAAUGGUCAGAUCUGCUUGGACCGAGGCUCCAACGGUCAGAUCUGGUCAGACCGGAAGUUCCGGUCCCAGGCACCGGAACUUCCGGUGGUACUCUAUAAAUACCAUUUGGAGCGCGAGCUGAGUAGAUGAGGGAGCCUUUUUCUUCUUCCUACUCUUCUCUCUACCCAUUUGGAACACAAGGAAGUUAGGGUUCCUCCUCUCCUCUUUCUCUCCCAUGGAUUUGAGCUAAGAUUUCUUGGAGAGAUUGAGAGCCCUUUGUGGGUGUGGAUGAGAGGUUAAAGAUCCACCCUUUCCCCCUUCUCUCCCUCUCAUGCUUGGUGCUAUUUUGAGUGAGGGAGUGAGAGCCUAGUGUGUGCAUUUGAUUUAUGCAUUUGGUGGCACUAGGAAAUCUUUGUGGUUGGGGAUUUCUUGUUACUCUUGGUGAUUGCCAUCACCUAGACGGUUUGGUGGAUUGUGACUCCGUUUGAAGCACGCAAGAAGAUUGUGCGGUGCUCCAGAGGAGGUUUUGUGAGGGGUACGGUGCUCACCCCGCGGGGAUUGCAAAGGGCAACUCUAUUGGAUUGUGCGUGUCAUUGAGCUACCUCACAUGUGGGUAGGUUCUUGCGGUGUCCUAGUGAGGACGAGGUUCGUGUAACACCUCUUAGCCACUGAACCACCAAGUGUUGGUCGACACAACGGGGACGUAGCUUGGUGGCAACCAAGUGAACCUCGGGAGAAAAUCAUCGUGUCAACUUUGUUCUUCCCGUUGGUUUGCAAGUCCCUAACACAAGCCUGUAUUUACUUUCAUAUUUUUGUGCUUGUGUAGUUGCUCUUGUAAUUAGUUAGCUUGUGUAGCUUGCUAGUUACCUUCUUGCUUGUGUAGCUAGAAGUAGUUCCCUUGCGUGACUAAUUUGGUUUGUGUAACCUUGUUAGUCACAUUGCUUAGUUUGUGUAGCUAAGUAAUUUGCGCUCUCUAAUUUUGCAUUGGUUGCCUUGUUUUUGAGCUUGCUAGUGAGCUUAGGCUUUGUGCGCUUUGCCUCACUAGUUUGUGUAGGAGCUCCCCCGGUUUGAAUUGAAUAGGUGAGCUCUUGCUAAGGUAGCACCUUGCUUGCUUGUUUAGGAUCUUUUCAAGGUGCUAGAGAACUUAGAUAGAGGGGUGUAGUCUUGGCUAGACUUAUAGUUUUUAAUUCCGCAUUUGUUUCGGUUAGCCGGCGCGAUAAGUUUUAGAAAGGACUAUUCACCCCCCAUCUAGUCCGCCAUCUCGACCCUUCACCCUCCAAGAAAACUUUCAAUAUCAACCUGGGAAGUCCUGAGAUACAAACUCAUUGGAGAUAAAGGAGACAAUUUGCACAAGAAGGACAUAGCUCAUUCAUCAUAAAGAGAUGAUCUAUGGUGGGUGCCACAAACACGAUGCACAACCGCUAAGAAAGGAAAGCUUCCACAAGGUGAGAUGGUACCAUCACUCUUCAAUUAAGGUAACAUCUUAAGGUACUUGACUAUCGCUUUUAUAAGUUUCUCCUUGGUUCUGGCGUUCACAUAAAAUAAAGAGACAAGCAUGUAUGAUUUGUAGCUCCAAAUUAACCAACCCAAUUAAUUCAACAUGUUUGUCCUUUAAUCUUUGUUCUUAGUACUACCUUCAUGAUCCCACACUCCUAAUCAUAUAAGCUAAUAUGUUGCACAUUCAAUCUUUGGAAGAUAUAAACAAAACAUAAAUAUAGAUAGAUUAUCUUUCCAUUAAGGUUGAGCCAUCUGAUCUGACAAAUGCUACACUCAUGAUCCAUCAACUUUGUCUUGCUCACUAUGCUUAAGGUUAGAGAAGAACAAAUACAGUUUUGGUUCUGUUGGUGUUUUCCACCAAUAGGGCCCAUGCACUUGAUCUCUGCCUUGUCUCUAUGAACAGGUACACUUCAAGCAAAACAUGGAGGAGUUUUACAACUCACAGACUCCACCAAGUGAAGGACCUGGAUCUACGAGCACAAACACACAGAGCAAGAUAUUGCCAACACUGCACUUCGAACAGCUGGACAAACGAAGAACAUGGGUGACACUGUAUCAAGAGGUGCAGAUGUCAAGACCCACACCUAAUCAAAUGAUGCACCUAAAGGAUGAACACGGUGAGAAGUCUUGUCCAGAAGACUUAGAACAUUGGAUCCUUGCCGGAAGAGGUCAAGAUUGUAACACCCUAGGUGUUAAGCAUGCACUUAGCCUUACCAAAGCAAUGCAUAAGCAUUCUCAUCAAGCAUAACAUCAUGAGCAUGUCAUUCAUCUCAAGAUAUGAUUUUAUGUGCUUUAUUUCAUGUGCUUUAAAUAUGCUAAAAAUAUGAUGCUUGCUUCUAAAAUUGUGAAAUAUUCAAAUUAGGUUGAUUUAUGUGUAAGAAGGUUUAAAAAUAUUUUAGUGCAAUUUUUGGAGCCAUAUAAUUUGAGAAAUGGAAUUUAUACAAAAAUCCCCAAAAUGAAUUUAUUUGAAAACCUAGAACUAGUUUUAAUAUGUAAUUCAAAUUCUGUUUGGAAUUUGGUCUUCCUUAUUAAAACAAAGUUGUAGGGUUUUUGUUUUGGAACAACUUUGCUUUAGGGGGAAAAAAGUGAAAAUGAUUUUAAAUUGGUCCAAAUGAAUUUAGAAAAGAAUUUGAGAAAAGAAAUUCAAAACAAUUAUGGAAAAGGGGCAGGCGCUGCCGGGCCAACCCCGCCUCCCUUUCGGCCCAGACCGCGGCCCGGCCUGCCUCCCCCUCCCCCUCUCUCCCGCGCGCCGACGCCCGCCUCGUCCCAGCCAGCGUCGGCCACGUGGCGGCCGUACGCCGGCGAGGAGCGCGCCGCGGCCGACCGGCUUCACCUGGUCGGGACGCCGGCCCGGGCUCCCAGGCCACUCCAUUCGCCCUGUCGCCCGCGCCUCACUCCCUCCUCCCUCCACUCGCGAGCACAACCGAAGCCGUAGGAGCUCCGCCGCAGCGCCAUCGCCGGAGCAGCUCCGCUGCUCACCGCCGGCUACGCCAGUGCCCCAACCUCGACGCCAAAACCAUCAGAGCACUCGCCGUCGUCGCGGUAAGCUCCUGCGAACGUUCUACCGAGGUGAGAGCCCGUCGAGCGCCGCGAAUCGCUCGUCGGAGUUGCUCCGACCUCGCCGGAGAGAUCCGCCACGUCGAAUCUCGUUCGUUUCCGCCUCGUUUCGCUUGCUUUUUGGCGCGUUAGAUCCGUAGUCCGAUGAGGAAGCUCGGAGGAGCCCUUGCGCGUGCUCUACCGCGUCGGAGCAGCCUGGCCACGGCGAGCAGCGCCGCCGUGCCGCCAUGCAUGCUCGUCGGAGGUGCUCCGGCCAUCCUCCGGUCAAUCCGAGGGUAUCGCUGGGUGCGCCUCGCUGCGGGGAGCACGAUGGUGCUCACCCCGUGGCCGGGGACCUCACCGCCGACGAGAUCUGCUCGUCGGAGGUGUCCUCCCUCUCGGUCUCGCUGACUAGUGGGGUCAGAGGCCCACUGUCAGUCGCAGGGGGACCGUGUUGGGUGUAGAUCUGGGUGUCUUUAGCGUUUUUGAUCCCGAUUUCGAUUUGAUUUUCAGAAAAUGAUUUCCAUAAAUCGAUUUAAACCUUGUAAAAUCCAUAUCUUGAGUUCUACACCUCCAAAUUUGAUGAAAUAAAUUUUGGUGUACUCCAUAUUCUCAGAUCUACAGUUUGAUGUAAUUGCAUGUCAUGUUUGAACACUUUUUCUGGAUAGAAAUAAUUAAUCCAUGCUUUUGCUAAACUUAGGGUUUAGGGUUUAUAAAUGAAUUUAUAGUGAUUUAAAGGCUUGCAUGGCAGUGGUUUAUGAUUUUUAAUAAAUAUUUGAAUCAUGCAAUCAGUCUGGAAAUUUUUGUGGAUGUUUCCUAUGAUAUUAGACAAAUUGUGAAAAUAUAAAAUCUGUUGUUUGACACUUAUACCACACUAGAGUAAUUGUACUUGCCUUUAUGUAAUAAUCUUGUGAUUUUUGUAGCUCAAAAUAAGUAUCCAAAAAUUAUGAAAAAUUUAUAGUAGACUUUAUGCUUGACUGGAAGUCUCCUGUAAUUUUUGUGGGAUUUAUAGAUGAACAGAACUGCAUGCAAAUUUGGAUGGGCCUAGAAAUGAAUAAAGAAAAUUUUGAAUUGUUAUAUAUGGGUUAAAUAGAAUAAAAAGGGGUUUGGUGUAUUUUGAAGCAUCAUGUGGGUUGCUGGUUACACUUGAAAACAUUUGGUAGAAGAGAAUGCAGUAGAUGUUUAAUUCAAUUGUCUGUUCUUGGAUGAUGUUGACUACCUUGUAAUGAGCAUGACCAAGUGAAUCACAUAUGCAUCAUGUCAUGAUCAUUUGGUACCUUCUCAUACAAGCAUCCACUUGGGCAUCUCACACUCCACUCAUGAGCACACAUGCAUCAUACAGGCUCACAGGAGAACGAGGUGGGACCCGAGGGGCCAGAGGAGAUUCAGGAGCAGGAACCUCCGGAAGCACCGGAACCCGGAGAGGAGCAACAGGAGUGUCGGGAUCACCGGCCCAGCACGUUUGAGAAAGGCAAGCCCCAGAGCAUUCUAAGUUUCCCUAUUCUCGCUAACUUACAUGAUACACUAUGCUUGUUCUACUAUUGCAUUUAAGUGAUAGGAAUUGCUUGAUACCUGUUGACGGUGGAUAUACCAUAGAAAUCCACAUACAAAACACCGUCAACAUGCCUCGGUUGCAAGGGGAAAUGACAUGACAUGAACAUAUUUUAUCCAUAACUAGUUCCACUUGUACUCUUAGCUUGUUUAUGCAGGAACAACAAAUUCAAGACAUUAUUUGACAAAGCCAACAUCAGAAUCAUCAAGAGGAGAUCGAGGGGACAACAGGUGACACCCUGGGCCCACAGGGAGGGGGUCGCCCGACCCCUCUUUGGUGGGACCCAGGUGUGCCACCUAGUCCACCGACAUAAGGGACCCCUGUGGACACUGCUGGUGGGCCCAGAGGCCCAGAAGUGGGGUCGCCCGACCCCACAUCAAAGGCGGUUCCAGGGUCGGUGGCCUCCCACCGACCUUCCCCACAUGUCCCACAUGUUGAUUUGCCCCUGCCAUUGAUCAAAUGGCGGUUGUGAGGUCGGUUUGAUCCAAGGGUGGAGAGAAGAUGUCACGCGGAUCGAUGAUGUGGCGAUGGAGUAACCCCUACUCCAUCUCCCUCUAUAAAAGGCAGCCUCCACCCUUCAUUUCAAGUGUGCAAUUCCAAGGCCAAGUGCAUUACAAGUUCCACGCAUACAAGUAGAGUAGUAGUUAGUCUAGAGUGGGAGUUAGAGUCGAGUCGAGCGAAGCUCGGGGUCUCCGGAGUCGUCUUCUGGAGAGUCUGGUAUAGCUCUUGUACCUUUCUACUUUUGUAAGACUUUCCUUUUAUUAAUAUAUUAUUCUUACUUUACUUUACUGAGUUCUUACUUAGUGCAAGUCUUUUAGUCUUGUUGUGCAUUUACUUUAGUAAUAUAGUUGUCUUAGUGAAGUUAGUGACCUGUAACCACUCCUGUGUGUGCAUCAUCGUCCUAUCUUGUAUAGGAGCUCUAGCUAGCUGCAACUAGUUAGAGUUGUAGGAUUAAGUGUGAGCGUGGUGCUCAUACUUAAGAUUACCUUUGAUUACCGCUGGCUUGAACGGAAAGUAGGAGCGCACUCCCUAGUAGGUGACAGAUCGUGGGCGGCAUUAGGUUCUCCUCACGUACAGGCUAGUUCUUAAAAGGUAAGGCGUCCAUAAGCCCAAUAGUCGCUUUCGGUAAGGGGUUAGGUGAAAAACCUUCUAAGCGUCUUACCAGCUCGGCUAUCCCUCGCACACAGUUAUUAAGGCUCUAGCGUAGUUAAGGCAAUUAUCUAUUAAAGUAAGUCACAUAAGUCAAGUUAGAUACAUAGGAGUCCUUUACUCACUCGUUGUCCUCCCACCUAGCUAACUCUACCAUUUACCUUUAGCAUAGGACCUUGGAUUCACCACUACCCUUCCUAUUCGUUAUUUACCACCCUUGUUCACUAGUUGAUACUAGACAACUCAAGGAAUCUCAUUCCCCUUUUUGUUAAACACACUUAGCCGCUUUCCCUUGGGAAAAUAUAAAUUACGAUACCUUGGAAUACUCCUUGGUGAAGUGCUACAGCGGUACAUUCUGUGCGCUUGCGGAAUUAUCCAAUAGUAAAUAGAGUUACCCUACCAGGGCACUUCUGGCGCCGUCGCCGAUAUCCGGUGGUUGCGUUAAGAAGUGUCAACAAGCAUUUCUGGCGCCGUUGCCGGGGAGAGCGUCUGUCUAAGAGUUUUAACAAAAAGAGAAUCCAGAGUUUGCUAGUUAUCAAGUAGUGAUAGGGAUAACCCAUCACUUGUCUUGUCUUCCUUUAUUGUGAAGCCUGACAGUGUAUGAGCGGUUUCCAAUUGCCGUCAAACUUCGUUGAAGAUCCUGAGCAACUGUUGAGGAGAACUAGACGUCGUCAAGUUCCACCUCAAAGGUUCAUCUCGAACCUGAAUCCGUUAGAGGAAGGAGUAUCUGCACCGGUUAUCAAAGAAGCUAUGGCCCAGAAGACCAUCUCUGAGUACUCUGCGCCGUCGGCUGACAAUGUCGCCGCGGGUCCGCAGCUUAACUUGGGGGAUGCGACUUUUGAGUUGAAGCCUGCGCUUAUCAAUAUGGUGCAAGCCAAUCCCUUCUGUGGAAAGCCACACGAGGAUGCCAAUGCCCAUCUCCAACACUUCUUGGAGGUGUGCGGCACCUUCACCAUCAAGAAUGUCGCCGCAGACGCCAUCCGUCUUCGCCUCUUCCCAUUCUCGUUAUUGGGGAAGGCGAAGCAAUGGUUCUACGCCAACAAGGGUGAAGUGACCACGUGGGAGAGGUGCGCCAAUGCAUUUCUCAAGAAGUUCUUUCCGAUGGGCAAGACCAGCGCCCUUCGUGGAAAGAUUUCCAGCUUCCAACAGCAAGCGGAUGAGACGAUUCCCGAAGCAUGGGAACGUCUGCAGGAGUACAUUCGCGCCUGUCCUCAUCAUGGGAUAGAGGAGUGGCUCCUAAUCCAAGGUUUCUACCAUGGCCUGACCGGUUUGGCCCGUAGUCACCUUGAUGCUGCCGCUGGAGGAGCAUUCUUGCAACACAAUGUCAAGGAUGCCAAGGACCUCAUUGAAAAGAUGGUUAUAAACCAAGGAUGGAAUGAGGAACGCCUCCAACCCAAGAGAAGAGGUGUCCAUGCCUUGAAUGAGGUGGACAUGCUCUCUGCUAAGAUGGACCUCUUAAUGAAGAAGAUGGAAGAAAGUUCCAAGCAAGAGACCAUUCAACCUUACGCCACUGCACGGGCCAUUGAAUCUGAUUCAUGGUGCGAAGUGUGCGGAGGAGAUGAUCAUUCGGGAAACAAUUGUCCCGAAACAAAGGAGGAAGUGAGCUUCAUCAACAACAACAACAAUGGGUACCGGCCCCAACAACAGCAAUGGAACUCGCGCCCCUUCUACCAAGGUAAUCAAGGUAAUGGUUACAAUCAAAAUUUCAAUAAUUCUUUUGGUAACCAACCUUCUCUUAGAGACCUUGUCUUAGGCCAAUCUAAAAUCAAUGAUAGCAUUAACAAGAAAAUGAUGGCUAAUGAUAAGAUCCUUGAAAACUUAAGUGAAAAGUUGGAUAGCUUUAACUCUGCUAUGAAAAAUCAGUUGAGCUUUAACAAAAUGCUAGAAACACAAUUAGCUCAAUUAGCAGCAGCUGUCCCAUCCUUCGAGCAAGGUAAGAUCCUAGGGAAACCUGAGGACCCAAUUGAAGGAGUUAAACUAGUUACUACGAGGUUCGGUAAGCCUCCGGUACAAUCCAACUGGAGCUAUCUUCUGGAUUCGCCCUUCAUCACCAAGAAAGACGACCCAGGCCUGCCGACCAUCACCUGUGAGAUCGGACCGCAAAUCUUCCACAACGCCUUCUGCGACCUUGGAUCGGGUGUCAACAUCAUGGCCAAGGUAACUUAUGAUAAUUUGCUAGGGGGGCCUUUGCACCCCACAUUUGUUCGUUUGCAGAUGGCAGAUCAGACGAUCAGGUUCCCUGAGGGGUUGGCAAGGGACAUACUGGUAAAGGUCCAAGACGACUACGUCCCUACCGACUUCAUCAUUUUGGAUAUGGGAUCCAAUAAUGAUGUCUCGAUCAUCUUGGGAAGGCCAUUCCUCAACACGGUCAAUGCAGUCAUCUAUGUGGGGUCCGGCCAGAUUCACCUCCAAUUCCCAGGAUGGAAGGUAAAAUGUCCAUUCAAUGGUUAUAAAGCUAACAUGCAGGUGAAGGACAAAGAACCUCCGACUAAGCCUCGCCACAUCCGACGCCGAAGGGACAAGAGAGGUAAGUCGGCCAAAAGGGCCGAAAAGAAAGAAGAGGAACCCGCUGAACCAAAAAUCAAUACCAAGCAAGUAUGGCGGGAGAAAGAGGUGCAAACAAGGUCCACGUCUCCGGGACCAUCUGAUGCACCCGAAGAAUGAACAAGAUGGAGAGGUCCUGCUCUAAGGACCUAAAACAUGGAGCCCUUGCUGAUAAGGUAAAUCAGUAGUUAUCCCAUAUUUAUUUUCUGCAUUUCAAUUUCUACUAUUCACUUUUCAAUUGCAUUCUUACUUUGAAUUUUGCAUAUCUUAUUUCGACAAAAUGUUUAGCCAUAAUAAAUAAAAUCUUGAGAAUAACUUGUCAUAAAAAUUUGAGCUGCUAGAGCUCCCAAAGGGGGGUCGCCCGACCCCACGUUGGGGCCCACUUCACCACAUUUCAACCUUGCUAGUCAUAGAGGUUCCAACCCAGCACUUGGAUGCUCUGGGAGCUCCAAUGUGGGGGUCGGCCGACCCCCAUAUUGGCCCCACUUGCCUCCUGCUGGCCACCAUUUGAAUCACAAUGGAGUCCUAUGCUUGUAACACUAGCUAAAGUUUGAAAAAGUGUGGUCCCUUGAUCCUUUACUUUAGCCAUAAGAUGCUCCUUUCAUCUUUGAUUCUUUUGGGACCACUCCACUAGCUUAAAUUCUGCAAAGUGGUCACCUAGGCAUGCUUGAGUGCUCCCAUGGUCCAUAGGAAUCACUUUAGACAUGUCUCCACUUUUGCCAUUCAUCUUUUACCUUUCACAAAGCACUAAAACAGGGAAUCUCAGAAACAAUUUGAAAACUUUUGGUCCACACCUAGCCUUUACUCUUCUGGACAAUCAAUGACACAAUGUUUAAAGUGGAGGAGGGGCUAGGAUGGGGGUCGGCCGACCCCCAUUUUGGACCAUCUCUGCAAAAUCUUGAAAGCAUGCAGAAUGGUUCCCUGUAUAAAGCUAAGUUCAAAUUCAAAGUGCUUCUAGGGGGGGUCGGCUGACCCCUAUAUUGUGGGUCCACUACUUGCCCUUCUCCCCCUAUAAAUACCACAGCAUUGUGAGCUCAACUCCACACCCAAAACCACCAGAACCAUUUCGAGCUCACAAUCCUUUCUCUUCUCUCUUUGUUACAAGCCAUUUCUCAAGUUUAGUUUAGAAAUAGUCAUCAAAACAAAAACCCAAAAAGAUUCCCCUUGCAUAGUAGUAGUAGUAGGAGCUUGGUUUGCCUCACUUGUGUAGGAGGAUGAAGAAGCAUAUCUUCGGCAAGUUCAAGAAAGCAAAGGGUGAGAGCUCUUCUCAAGGCUCUCACCAUGCUCAUGGAAGGGAGGAAGAAGAAGGUUACCAUGGGAUGGUACCCUACGAGCCUCCAUCAAGGAUGAGAGAGCCCGAGAGCGGCCUCAUGUUAAGCCAAGAAGAGUUGCAAAGGUACUACAUCAUCCGAGAGAGUCUCUUCCUACACACUAGCAUCAUCGAUCCGGACCUUUUGGCCCGCACAGGUAUGGAUGUUGAAUUCGAUAAGGUGUUUAGAGCAAUUGGUUGGAGUAGUUUUUGGCAAGUGCCUGAAUUUGGAAAAGAAUUGCUUGCUAAGGAAUUUCUAUGCACCCUAAAACUCACAAAUAAUGGAAUAUCUUUUCGCAUGUGUGAGCAAGAACAUCAAUUAAAUUGGAGUUUGCUAAACACUGCUUUAGGGUGUGAACAUGAAUGUGAACUUGAUCUAGAUCAUGCCACUAGAAUGUUCGAUAAAUUUAGAUUCUGGAAAGCAAUUUCUGGCUCUAAUGAUUGUUCAAAUCCUACUCCCAUUGAAAUCCAUAAUCCAACCUUGCGCUUUCUUCACUUCUGGAUCAUGUGCACUCUAUAUCCUGGCAUGGGAACUGAUACUUUAAUUGAUGAUGAACUUAAAAUUCUCUAUGCCAUGGUUAGUAAAAUCAAGGUCUCCCCUGUGAAACUGCUAGUGAACUAUUGGCUUAACUCUAUUGAGUAUGGGAAGCCCAUCUAUUUCACAUCCUUUAUUACUCGAAUAGCCGAUACUUUUGGAUUACUUGAAUCACAUUAUUUUGAAGACAUUGGCUAUGUUAGAGGAGUGGUAGAUGAGAACUUCUUUAUCAAUGCUAACAUGCUCAUAAGAAAUCCAAAUGGUGAACUUAAAAUGAUUUAUCCGGGCUAUACAACCGAAAUUCCUCUCCCAUGUGCGAGGCGCCGGUUGUAUGGGGUCCGCACACUUACCAUUAGACUAGCCCAAGUGGCAAGUCUAGAUAUUGCAGGGACACGCAGGGUGACAAGAAGGAUGAUGCAAGCCGCCCAGGUGGAGCAAGGAGGAUCCUCGCACCAUGACGUUGAAGAGGGCGAUGAAGCGAUGUCAGUGGAUGCUUCAGACUCCAUGGGUCUACCUCCACAACGCACUCCACGCCCAAGGGACAGGGCUAGGCGUCACCAGCCCACAGGUAUGGACAGUCUCAUUAAUGACAUGGGCGAAUUGCAGAUUGGGCAAGAAGCAACAUUGCAACUGGCGUUACAAAACGGCCAACAUAUCCGACGUGUGCGAGAGGAAGACGCACAACGCUGGGCUGGAUGGUACCAGAAUUUCCCGCCACCACAGUGAGCGAAGAUCUAGCUUGGGGGAGAUCCUCUCCCCCACUAAGGUAAGUAUUCUAUCCUAUUUAUUUUCAUGCAUUUUAUCAUUCUUACUUAAAAAUAAAUAAAUAAAUAAAUAUUUAUUAGCAUUUCCCUUUAGCAUAUAUGCUUCAUGUAUGUUUAUAUCCCUCAUGGAAAUGAUGACUAGUUGCUUGUUAAUGUUUCUCUAGUACCUAGUAUACAACUUAGUAUUUCUCUAAGUAUGGAUCACUUAGCUCACUUAAACUGCCAUGAACCUAAAAACUUUGUGGGUUGCAAGUGCUAGAACUAAGUCUAAGUUGUUGUGGGACAUGAGAUAGUAAGACAAGAGCUACUAUAAUAUUUUUCUAAGCAUGCAUGAUUAUCAGAGAUUUAUUCUUAAAAUGAUCAAAACCUUAAUUGUUCCUCAAUGGUGAUGAAUUCCUACCACAGCCAUAUCUACUUUACAUAAUUGCAAUCUUUCCACAUAAGCUAUUUGCUUUGUGUUGAGUGUCGUCAAGUCUUGUUGACCCUUGUUAAGAGACUUUUCAUGCUCCUAAGAUCAAGAUCACGUACACACCACAUAUAUAUAUGCUGCUUCUACACUGGAAGUACGCAACCACAUGUAUUUCGCAUCCACUAAAUAGGUUGCUCCAUACUCUAAAUUUUAGAACAUCUCUCUAAGCAUUAUUUGGUAAAUGAGACAUCAAAAGGCUAGGCAAAAUGAAAUAAAAAGAUGGACAUAUGCAAGUCCACAGAAAAAGAAAAUUGAGCACAUGAAAGCUCAUAUAUAUAUAAAAAAAAAGCUAGCCAUGUCUCAAUACAUAGAGAGUCUAUCAAAUAAAGGAGCAACCUAGUCCACCAUAUAUCACACUAGCACAUCUUGAUCUGGGAGUAUGACACUUCUCUUCAAGGAUCCGAGCUUUGACUUCGCAAUAUAUGCAAAGUAAGUAUGCUAUCUCCUUUCAUCCCUACCUUGAACUCCACAUAAGCCUUUUAGAAAUAGGAUGAAAGAGAGAAGGCAACUCUUACCAUAUGCCUUGGUGAGGAAUCAUACACCAUUUGAGUGACAUGAGAGAACCAUAAGAGGAACAUUUAAGCUUUCUUUUGAAAAUAUCACAAAACCUCUGAUAUGAAACUUGCUAAGAAUGAGAAAGUUAGUGCUCAAGUCAAACUGUUCUGUCUCUCAACCACCUAAGACAAAGGAAAAGCCAUAAGCCCCAUAAGGGACUAAGGUAAUAGGGGUAAGUUUACAUAGCUAAAUUUUUUAUGCAAAGAGAAGAACUUUGUUGUACACAUGGUACUCUUGAAAUGUGAACAUAGUAACAAUACCUGAUCCACCGAGGCUAAGUUUGAUUGUUUGCUCGGGACGAGCAAAGGUUAAGCUUGGGGGAUCUUGUUGACGGUGGAUAUACCAUAGAAAUCCACAUACAAAACACCGUCAACAUGCCUCGGUUGCAAGGGGAAAUGACAUGACAUAAACAUAUUUUAUCCAUAACUAGUUCCACUUGUACUCUUAGCUUGUUUAUGCAGGAACAACAAAUUCAAGACAUUAUUUGACAAAGCCAACAUCAGAAUCAUCAAGAGGAGAUCGAGGGGACAACAGGUGACACCCUGGGCCCACAGGGAGGGGGUCGCCCGACCCCUCUUUGGUGGGACCCAGGUGUGCCACCUAGUCCACCGACAUAAGGGACCCCUGUGGACACUGCUGGUGGGCCCAGAGGCCCAGAAGUGGGGUCGCCCGACCCCACAUCAAAGGCGGUUCCAGGGUCGGUGGCCUCCCACCGACCUUCCCCACAUGUCCCACAUGUUGAUUUGCCCCUGCCGUUGAUCAAAUGGCGGUUGUGAGGUCGGUUUGAUCCAAGGGUGGAGAGAAGAUGUCACGCGGAUCGGUGACGUGGCGAUGGAGUAACCCCUACUCCAUCUCCCUCUAUAAAAGGCAGCCUCCACCCUUCAUUUCAAUUGUGCAAUUCCAAGGCCAAGUGCAUUACAAGUUCCAAGCAUACAAGUAGAGUAGUAGUUAGUCUAGAGUGGGAGUUAGAGUCGAGUCGAGCGAAGCUCGGGGUCUCCGGAGUCGUCUUCUGGAGAGUCUGGUAUAGCUCUUGUACCUUUCUACUUUUGUAAGACUUUCCUUUUAUUAAUAUAUUAUUCUUACUUUACUUUACUGAGUUCUUACUUAGUGCAAGUCUUUUAGUCUUGUUGUGCAUUUACUUUAGUAAUAUAGUUGUCUUAGUGAAGUUAGUGACCUCUAACCACUCCGGUGUGUGCAUCAUCGUCCUAUCUUGUAUAGGAGCUCUAGCUAGCUGCAACUAGUUAGAGUUGUAGGAUUAAGUGUGAGCGUGGUGCUCAUACUUAAGAUUACCUUUGAUUACCGCUGGCUUGAACGGAAAGUAGGAGCGCACUCCCUAGUAGGUGACAGAUCGUGGGCGGCAUUAGGUUCUCCUCACGUACAGGCUAGUUCUUAAAAGGUAAGGCGUCCAUAAGCCCAAUAGUCGCUUUCGGUAAGGGGUUAGGUGAAAAACCUUCUAAGCGUCUUACCAGCUCGGCUAUCCCUCGCACACAGUUAGUAAGGCUCUAGCGUAGUUAAGGCAAUUAUCUAUUAAAGUAAGUCACAGAAGUCAAGUUAGAUACAUAGGAGUCCUUUACUCACUCGUUGUCCUCCCACCUAGCUAACUCUACCAUUUACCUUUAGCAUAGGACCUUGGAUUCACCACUACCCUUCCUAUUCGUUAUUUACCACCCUUAUUCACUAGUUGAUACUAGACAACUCAAGGAAUCUCAUUCCCCUUUUUGUUAAACACACUUAGCCGCUUUCCCUUGGGAAAAUAUAAAUUACGAUACCUUGGAAUACUCCUUGGUGAAGUGCUACAGCGGUACAUUCUGUGCGCUUGCGGAAUUAUCCAAUAGUAAAUAGAGUUACCCUACCAGGGCACUUCUGGCGCCGUCGCCGAUAUCCGGUGGUUGCGUUAAGAAGUGUCAACAAUACCGUUGAUGCAUAUGUACUCCUUGUUAUCCCUACUCGUUUAUCUACCUUGUCCUAUGUAGAUAGGCACGGAGUCUAUGCUUAGCUUGCUUAGUCCAGUAGAAGUCGGGUGAUUCCCUGUCACCUGCGAGAUAUAGGUGGAUACCUACUUGUUUAAGCAGUGGUUGCUUUGGGAAAAGAAUAACCAAGUGUGAGAUGGAAUUGGAGACCGGGCACGGUCUUAUGGUGGGUUGACCAUAGUGCCCCUGCCUGUGUCAAUUAAGGACCAAUUGUUGACGGCCCUCUUGUCAUGUUGAACGCAUGCCCCACAUUUAGCUGGAAGGAUAAGUCGUUCCGACCGCGAAGCCUGAACACUAUCCGGGCCGGGAAUCGGCCCGAUGUACGCGCUGUAUUUGUGAUGGUUGAGGAGAACGACGAAGGCGCGGCGCGCAACCUUGGUAUACCUUGGAUACCUCGGUCGCCGGAACGGUCCUCGGGUACGGGCGGUGCCUGUCAAACCCGCGAAUUGGUCCUGAAUAGUGCAAUACAUUGAUCUGUAGCUCACUUGAUCAGUGAGCGUGGUUUGUGUGGGGAAUAAACUCGCCAGCUGGUUAGAAAUCAAUUCGAAUCGCCAUCGCUCCUGGAUAGUGAGCACUUGACAUGAGCUUCGUCCUCGUAGUAAGGACUAUGGAACACUUGGGUUAUAAAGAUAAAUGGUUUCAAGAAUGCUAUGAUGAGGUACUAUCAUAUCACUAUAUUUGCUUAUAAUAGUGCAGGUGCAAACCUAGAUGAUAGGUAAUGAUACUUUCAACUUGAGCAAAUUAAAGGAAGAAAGAUUUAUGUAGGUUAUGAUAAUAAAAUCCUGCGGUUAUGCAAAAUGGUUGUCAGCUACCCCACUAUAUAGCCUUCAUGAUCCUUGAAGUGUCUUUAUUUUAAGUUUAUGACGGGUAAGUCAAGCUGAGUACAUUCUCGUACUCAGGGUUCUACUCCCAUGUUGUUUUGCAGAUGGUCAAAUGUACUAUGGUUAUUGCAUCCUCUGUCUGUACCCAGCCAUGGGUGAUGACUAGACCAAGGGCGAUGGUCACUCCAUCUUCUCUUCUGCUUUUGUGGUAAUGACCGAAUUAUGGCACUGUAUCAGACUAAUUGUGUGUUGUAUUUUCGAACUAUGAAGCUUCUGCUACUUGAAGAACUUGGUUUGUAAUAAUUUUAAGAACUCCGAUGUAUUUUGUGAAUGUUGUAAUCUGGAUGUAUUUGUGGAUGGUGACCGCUAAACUUAUUACGAUCUUGGCUGUUUGUACGCUAUGUGGUUUGAAAUCCUUCGAGAUUUCACGGACUACCGGGAUUAUAUGGGCUUAAGCUCGAUGCUUUGACUAUGCAAAUGGUCACUGUUAGGCUUAAUCUCUUAUAAUUUGGUCGGUUCUGUUACAGCUGGUAUCAGAGCAAGGUUUAGCGAGUUACUGUUCAUGAGUAUGUUCUAAACAAAAUCUAAACCGGUUUAAUAAAGGAUUUUAUUAAUUAAGAAUGAUCAAGGUGUUAAACUAAGUUUUGGAAAACUAUCUAGUGUGCCAUGGUCAUAUCCUUUAUGCCCAGUUAAGGACUCUAAGGUGGCUAGUUAAGUACUGACUUGGGGGUUAAUGCAUCAUAUUUCUAUUUCGUCGCUCAUACGGCGUGCAAUAGUAUGAGUGCCAUUCAUUUGAAUGGUAUUGUAUGGAUCCAUUUUUUUCCUCUACGCCACGGUAAGUGGGAGCUGUGAGAGCGUGAUCUGAUACACUGCCGGUCUAGGGGAGAGUUGUUAGGUGCUGUGUCAUGCACACAUGUUUUGGUGUGUUUUGGGAACAGCACCGCAUGUGGGAAUUCCGUCCGGAGAGGCGACGUCGUCAUUAGGGCGAUGAUGUGGGUAGUGACACGUCAUAUGCAUGGACGGGUGUCUGUGUAUGUGGAGUGUAUAGUUUUAAAUUCUUGUUCUGCAUGAGCAUAUUGUGGGUGGGUUGAAAUGAGUUUUCUGCAGGUACACUAACCACGUUCUCGUUUAGAACGCUAGUUAUGUUAUGAGAGAACGCUGUAUGCCACCGCAUAUACCGCUUAGUGUUAACCUUUGUUUCUAAAUUGGUGAGAUCGUAAGUUCGUGCAUGCAUCAUGAUUCAUUUCAUAUCAUUGCUUACUUUCCCCCUUAAUUUAAUCUGUCCCAAUUCUAAAUAAAAUAAUUAAAGGUAAUCCUCGCUCUUACCCAAGGUAUUCCAUUUGCAGCAGAUGGCACGCACUAGGCUCACCGCUCGCAAGUCCACUGGUGGGCGGGCCCCUCGCCAUCCGUUGGCGGCUAGGAGCUCGCGACAUAAGAGCAAGUUCCUAGAGGAGUUUGGGAUGCCCACUUUGCUUUGGAGAGUGCUCAGCUCGAUGGGGUAUCCUGAAGGAAGGGAGCCUCGCUACUAUUGGGAUAAGGAGCCGCUUGGUGACAAGACCCUGGUGGGGAUCGAGGCAGUUGUUCCUAACAGUGGAGGUGACCCCGCCUGGGGCGGCUGGGUGUACGAGUCCCGAGGUGCCACGCCUUUCCACGGUGCCAGCAGGGCAACUUUCGUAGUUCUGAGGGACCUCAUGGAGAGGUUUCCACAGGAGCUGGCCCACGCCUUCGCUGGGGUAUUUCCUCGGGGUGACCCCUACACUUCUGUGUGGGAUCAGUCCGAGGUGAACGCUCUAGAGAGGAGUGCGGAUGAGGACCAGAAUAGUGACGGCACAGCUAUGAGUGCUAUGUACGCCUUGAUGAAGACCUAUGGGGGCCUGGAGCGUUGUUUGGGUCACUUGUCUGGGUCUCUUCUCACCGUCCAGGAUGAGAAGCGUCAGUUGCAGUGUGAGUUCGACUCUGAGGUUGAGAGGCUACAGGCAAAGUUGGCCCGUGUGACCAAAGAGAGAGACCAGGCAGUCCAGAAGAACAGUGAACUAAGCCAGGACCUGCUUGCAGUGCGAGAGCAGAGGGACAUGGUGACUACUGCUCACAGGAACUGCGAGCGCAUGCUAGUCCAUGUGCUUGGUCAGAGGAAUGAAGCCUAUCACAAGGAGGACACUUUGAGGGUCCGACAGCUAGAGCUAGAGCAGCAGCUAGCUAAUGCUGAGGAGUACAAUGAGAACUUGCAUGAGGAGAUCCACCAUCUGCAUAACCAGCUCCACCCUCACCACCUACCUAGAGCAGCUGAGCUAGACUCUGAGGACGAGAUGGAUGAGGAUCCUGAGAUAGGAGCAGCUGCUAGUGGAGAUGAGGACGAUGAGGGCUCCGGCAUGGACAGUGACCAUAGCGAGUAGAUGCUAGGGCUCUAGAGCUAGCCCUUCUUCUUUUGUUGUUAUAGGUUGCAUGGCAUGUCUUGUACUUUUGGAUCUGGGCUAUGUAAAACUUUAUGAGUAACGCUGAAAGUCAGUGGAUGUAUGCUGGCAAGUUUGGAUGUAUGCGAACCUUGUUGCUUGAACGAUAAGUAAUAUGUUAGUGAUGUUGUGCGUGGAUGAUGAAUUGUUGUGCCUCUGUUUAUUGUGCGAAAUUAUUCCCUCAGUAAAUUCAGUACGGCAUAAUUCUACACAUGUCUACCUUUGAUGGCAACUCCUAACGAUUGCUUAUCAUUGACGUAUGCAGAUGGUGCAAACACGUGGCGGGGGUAACAGCAACCCGGGUCUUGGAGCAGGUACGUCCGGAGGUGGGGCUCAACGAGAUGAAGACAGAGCACCAACACCACAACCACCGCCUCCUCUGUACACUGCGGACGUGUUUUUCGUGCAGUUUCUAGGGAGCCAACGCAACAUGGAACAAAUGCAGCGCAACAUGGAAGAAGCUCUACGCAACAUAGCUGACAACACCCGUCGUGGGGAUAACCAGGGCGGCCGUGAAGUCAACCAGUACAGCUCGUUCAAGGACUUCAUGGAUACCAAGCCACCAGUCUUCAAGGAGGCUUUGGAACCGCUUGAAGCUGAUGAGUGGAUUAACACUAUGGAGUAGAAGUUUCGUCUUCUUCGGAUGACAGAAGAACUCAAGGCUGAGUAUGCAGCACAUCAGUUGCAAGGGCCCGCUGGAAUUUGGUGGUCCCAUCACCGUACCACCUACCCAGAGGGGACCCCAAUCACCUGGAACAGCUUCACCACCGCUUUCCGGGGGAAUUACAUUCCUCCGGGUGUGGUUGAAAUGAAGGUUGGGGAGUUCAUGAGGCUGUCCCAGGGGACGAAAUCUGUGAAGGAGUAUCUACACGCUUUCAACAAUCUCGCUCGCUACGCCCCCGAGUUUGUGAACACGGAGGCCAAGAAGAUUGCUAGUUUCCAGAGAGGCUUGAGUCCAAAGAUGCUGAAAACCAUGGGUACAGGGACCCGAGCUACCUUCAAUGCUUACAUCAGUGACUGUCUAACUCAAGAAAACAAUAACAACAACUACAGUGCAUCCAAGUCACGUAAGAGGGCUUUUGAGGCUGGGUCAUCCCAGUCCAGGGCACCAGUGGCAGGGCGACAGCAGUAUCGUCCUCCUGCCCCAGGUGCUAGGUUCAGGCCGCCGCAGAGACGGAACACUGGACAUCCAACGCAGCAGAAGCCGUACAAGGUGGCGAUAGCUCCUGCCAAGCCAAAGGCAAUUCAAGCUGCAGCACCUGCCGCCAACAAUGCGCCCAAAGGUCCGUGGUACAACUGCCACAAAAUGGGGCACUUUGGUAAGGAAUGUCCCUACCCCAAGAGGCAGCAGCCAACCUAUCCAGCUCGUGUGCACCAUACCUCGAUCGAGGAGAUCCCGGAAGGAGAACCAGUAACAGCUGGUAUGUUUCCUGUCAACCAACAUCUUGCAGUUGUUUUGUUUGAUUCUGGAUCAUCGCAUUCAUUCAUGAGCAAAGCAUUUGCACAAAAGCAUGACCAGCCAGUUACUGAGUUGGGUUAUGGCUAUCGCAUCAGCUCAGCCGGAGCUGAUGUGUUGACUAAUAAAACAGUAACAGAAGUUACCUUGGAUAUCAGUGGCCGGAGGUUUCGCGUAAACCUUGUGGUCAUGCCAGGGCUGGUUUUGGAUGUCAUCAUUGGAAUGAACAAGAUGACUGACUGGGGCGCGGUUAUAGAUGCCGGGAAUAGAACUCUUUCCCUCAGAGACCCGCAAGGUAAGGGUGUGCUUCAGGUCAAGCUACCCCGACGGUUAGACUUCGCCAGUCUUUCGUGUGCAGUACAGGUGGUUCCACUAGAACACAUACCCGUGGUAUGUGAGUUCCCUGAUGUUUUUCCCGAGGAAUUGCCUGGACUUCCUCCAGAUAGGGAAGUAGAGUUUGCAAUUGAGUUGAUACCAGGUACAGCACCAAUAUCUAGAAGGCCGUACCGGAUGCCACCAAACGAACUCGCUGAGUUGAAGAAUCAACUAAAGGAGUUAUUGGAUAAAGGGUUCAUCCGGCCAAGUUCGUCAGAAUGGGGUUGUCCAGCGUUGUUCGUGAAAAAGAAGGAUCAGUCGUUGCGCAUGUGCGUGGACUAUCAUCCACUCAAUGUAGUGACAAUCAAGAAUAAGUAUCCCUUGCCAAGGAUCAAUAUCUUAUUUGAUCAGUUGUCCAAGGCAAAAGUGUUUUCCACGAUAGAUUUGAGAUCUGGGUAUCACCAAAUCAAGAUUCGUCCGCUAGAUAUCCCGAAGACUGCUUUUUCCACCAGAUAUGGGUUGUAUGAGUAUUUGGUCAUGUCCUUUGGGUUGACAAAUGCUCCUGCAUACUUUAUGUAUUUGAUGAAUUCAGUAUUUAUGCCAUAAUUGGAUAAGUUUGUUGUGGUGUUUAUCGAUGAUAUCCUGGUUUAUUCAGAAAAUGAGCAAGACCACGCCGAGCAUCUGAGAAUCGUGUUAACACGAUUACGAGAGCAUCAGUUAUAUGCCAAGUUCAGCAAGUGUGAGUUCUAGUUGAAGAAAGUUCCUUUCCUGGGGCACAUUUUGUCUGAAGAAGGGAUUGCUGUGGAUCCGUCAAAAGUGCAGGAAGUCAUGGACUGGAAGGCACCAACUUCUGUCUCGGAAGUUAGAAGUUUUCUUGGUCUAGCCAGGUAUUAUCGUCGUUUCAUACCUGACUUCUCCAAGAUUGCUAAGCCAAUGACCAGUUUGCUACAAAAGGAUCAUAAGUUUGUCUGGACGGAGGGGUGUGAGCUAGCCUUCCGCACCUUGCGAAAGUUGCUAACCACUGCUCCCGUUCUGGCGCAACCCAAUAUCGAGAAGCCUUUUGAUGUGCUUUGCGACGCGUCGAAAAGUGGCUUGGGGUGUGUGUUGAUGCAAGAUGGUAGGGUGAUAGCUUAUGCUUCCCGACAGUUGAGAAAGCACGAAGUCAACUACCCAACUCAUGACCUCGAGUUAGCAGCAGUAGUGCACGCUUGGAAGAUUUGGAGACACUAUCUGCUGGGGAAUAAGUGUCACAUUUAUACCGAUCAUAAGAGCUUGAAGUACAUCUUCACUCAGUCCGAACUGAAUAUGAGGCAACGACGGUGGUUAGAGUUAAUCAAGGACUAUGAUCUGGAAGUUCACUAUCAUCCAGGCAAAGCUAAUGUGGUAGCAGAUGCGUUGAGUCGUAAACCGCACUAUCAAGUAGUUCAACCGUUGUUUGAGGAUGGUUUCAAUCUCAUGCAUCGUGAAGUCUUAUGCCACAUACAGCUCAGUUGUUCACUUGAGAGUCAAGUCAUCGAGGGUCAGAAGACAGACAAAGGUAUUUUCCACAUCAAGGAGAAAAUCAAAGAUGGCCCAAAAACUCAGUUUCAAGUUGAUGAGAAAGGGGUACUGUGGUUUCAACAUCGGUUAGUAGUCCCGAAGGAUCGGGAAUUAAAGAAUCGCAUCAUGGAUGAAGCCCAUCUCUCUAAGAUUUCUAUUCAUCCUGGCAGUAGUAAAAUGUAUCAAGACCUAAGACCCCACUUUUGGUGGACUAAGAUGAAGAAAGAAAUAGCCGCAUAUGUGGCCCGCUGUGACACGUGUUGCAGAGUUAAGGCCAUCCAUAUGAAACCUGCAGGUCUGUUGCAACCGUUAUCAGUUCUAGAGUGGAAAUGGGAAGAGGUCAGCAUGGACUUUAUCACAGGUUUACCAACCACGAGGAAGGGGAAUGACUCGAUUUGGGUAAGCAUAGAUCGAUUAACCAAGUCGGCUCAUUUCAUCCUAGUUAAGAACACAUACAGACCUCCCGAGUAUGCCGAUAUAUAUAUGGCUGAGAUUGUCAAGUUGCAUGGUAUUCCCAAGACCAUCAUAUCAGAUAGAGGACCACAAUUCACCGCUCACUUUUGGGAGCGAAUGCAUAAGAGUCUGGGGACCAGUCUAAUAAGAAGCACCGCGUAUCAUCCCCAAACCUCAGGACAAACUGAGAGGCUAAAUCAAGUAUUAGAAGAUAUGCUGAGGGCCUGUGUGCUAUCGUCUAAGGGAUCAUGGAAGUCAUGGUUACCUCUGGCUGAAUUCUCAUACAAUAACAGCUACCAAGAGAGUAUCAAGAUGGCUCCGUUCGAGGCUUUGUAUGGUCGAAGGUGUAGAACUCUGUUAAAUUGGGUUGAACCUGGUGAAAGGAGAUACUUUGGUAUCGACUUCGUGAAUGAAGCAGAGAGAAAUGUGCAAAUCAUACAGCAGCAUAUGCGGGCAGCCCAAUCGCGACAAAAGAGUUAUGCUGAUAAGAGAAGAAGACCACUUGAAUUCAAAGUAGGUGAUUAUGUGUACCUCAAGGUUACGCCAAUGAAGAAAGUUCAACGUUUCCGAGUCCGAAGCAAGCUUGCACCCAGAUAUGUGGGACCGUAUCAAAUACUGGAGAGGAAAGGCCCCGUGGCCUACAAGAUUCAGUUACCUGAAGAGUUGAGCUCGAUCUUUCCGGUCUUCCAUGUGUCGCAAUUAUGGAAAUGUUUGAAAGUACCUGAGCAAAGGAUUGAACCUAGAGGGAUCGAAAUAAAAGCAGACUUAGAGUAUAAGGAGCAGCUAGUGGGAAUUGUGGAUACCAAGGAACGAGUAACCCGAAAUAGAGUUGUCAGAACAUACAAGGUGAUGUGGAGUCUUCAUGACGAUAGGGAUGCCACCUGGGAAACCGAGGAUUAUCUAAAAACAGUUUAUCCAAAAUGUCAUAAGAAAUGGUUAGUAACCCAAAAUCUCGGGACGAGAUUUCCCUAAGGGGGGAAGGGCUGUAACACCCUUGGUGUUAAGCAUGCACUUAGCCUUACCAAAGCAAUGCAUAAGCAUUCUCAUCAAGCAUAACAUCAUGAGCAUGUCAUUCAUCUCAAGAUAUGAUUUUAUGUGCUUUAUUUCAUGUGCUUUAAAUAUGCUAAAAAUAUGAUGCUUUUUUCUAAGAUUGUGAAAUAUUCAAAUUAGGUUGAUUUAUGUGUAAGAAGGUUUAAAAAUAUUUUUGUGCAAUUUUUGGAGCCAUAGAAUUUGAGAAAUGGAAUUUAUACAAAAAUCCCCAAAAUGAAUUUAUUUGAAAACCUAGAACUAGUUUUAAUAUGUAAUUCAAAUUCUGUUUGGAAUUUGGUCUUGCUUAUUAAAACAAAGUUGUAGGGAAAAGGUGAAAAUGAUUUUAAAUUGGUCCAAAUGAAUUUAGAAAAGAAUUUGAGAAAAGAAAUUCAAAAAAAAUGGAAAAGGGGCAGGCGCUGCCGGGCCAACCCCGCCUCCCUUUCGGCCCAGACCGCGGCCCGGCCUGCCUCCCCCUCCCCCUCUCUCCCGCGCGCGGACGCCCGCCUCGUCCCAGCCAGCGUCGGCCACGUGGCGGCCGUACGCCGGCGAGGAGCGCGCCGCGGCCGACCGGCUUCACCUGGUCGGGACGCCGGCCCGGGCUCCCAGGCCACUCCAUUCGCCCUGUCGCCCGCGCCUCUCUCCCUCCUCCCUCCACUCGCGAGUGCAACCGAAGCCGUAGGAGCUCCGCCGCAGUGCCAUCACCGGAGCAGCUCCGCUGCUCACCGCCGGCUACGCCAGUGCCCCAACCUCGACGCCAAAACCAUCAGAGCACUCGCCGUCGUCGCGGUAAGCUCCUGCAAACGUUCUACCGAGGUGAGAGCCCGUCGAGCGCCGCGAAUCGCUCGUCGGAGUUGCUCCGACCUCGCCGGAGAGAUCCGCCACGUCGAAUCUCGUUCAUUUCCGCCUCGUUUCGCUUGCUUUUUGGCGCGUUAGAUCCGUAGUCCGAUGAGGAAGCUCGGAGGAGCCCUUGCGCGUGCUCUACCGCGUCGGAGCAGCCUGGCCACGGCGAGCAGCGCCGCCGUGCCGCCAUGCAUGCUCGUCGGAGGUGCUCCGGCCAUCCUCCGGUCAAUCCGAGGGUAUCGCUGGGUGCGCCUCGCUGCGGGGAGCACGAUGGUGCUCACCCCGUGGCCGGGGACCUCACCGCCGGCGAGAUCUGCUCGUCGGAGGUGUCCUCCCUCUCGGUCUCGCUGACCAGUGGGGUCAGAGGCCCACUGUCAGUCGUAGGGGGACCGUGUUGGGUGUAGAUCUGGGUGUCUUUAGCGUUUUUUAUCCCGAUUUCGAUUUGAUUUUCAGAAAAUGAUUUCCAGAAAUCGAUUUAAACCUUGUAAAAUCCAUAUCUUGAGUUCUACAGCUCCAACUUUGAUGAAAUAAACUUUGGUGUACUCCAUAUUCUCAGAUCUACAGUUUGAUGUAAUUGCAUGUCAUGUUUGAAUACUUUUUCUAGACAGAAAUAAUUAAUCAAUGCUUUUGCUAAACUUAGAAAAUGCAUAGUAAUUAAAAUAUGGCUCAGAAAAAUGUGAAACUUGAUUUGUUGGCUCUGCAUGUAUGUUAACUCACUGGGAAAAUAUUGCUACACAUUAUUUGGUGUAUAAAUGAAUUUAUAGUGAUUUAAAUGCUUGCAUGGCAGUGGUUUAUGAUUUUUAAUAAAUAUUUGGAUCAUGCAAUCAGUCUGGAAAUUUUUGUGGAUGUUUCCUAUGAUAUUAGACAAAUUGUAAAAAUAUGAAAUCUGCUGUUUGACACUUAUACCACAGUAGAGUAAUUGUACUUGCCUUUAUGUAAUAAUCUUGUGAUUUUUGUAGCUCAAAAUAAGUAUCCAAAAAUUAUGAAAAAUUUAUAGUAGACUUUAUGCUUGACUGGAAGUCUCCUGUAAUUUUUGCGGGAUUUAUAGAUGAACAGAACUGUAUGCAAAUUUGGAUGGGCCUAGAAAUGAAUAAAGAAAAUUUUGAAUUGUUAUAUAUGGGUUAAAUAGAAUAAAAAGGGGUUUGGUGUAUUUUGAUGCAUCAUGUGGGUUGCUGGUUACACUUGAAAACAUUUGGUAGAAGAGAAUGCAGUAGAUGUUUAAUUCAAUUGUCUGUUCUUGGAUGAUGUUGACUACCUUAUAAUGAGCAUGACCAAGUGAAUCACCUAUGCAUCAUGUCAUGAUCAUUUGGUACCUUCUCAUACAAGCAUCCACUCGGGCAUCUCGCACUCCACUCAUGAGCACACAUGCAUCAUACAGGCUCGCAGGAGAACGAGGUGGGACCCGAGGGGCCAGAGGAGAUUCAGGAGCAGGAACCUCCGGAAGCACCGAAACCCAGAGAGGAGCUACAGGAGUGUCCGGACCACCAGCCCAGCACGUUUGAGAAAGGCAAGCCCCGGAGCAUUCUAAGUUUCCCUAUUCUCGCUAACUUACAUGAUACACUAUGCUUGUUCUACUACUGCAUUUAAGUGAUAGGAAUUGCUUGAUACCGUUGAUGCAUAUGUACUCCUUGUUAUCCCUACUCGUUUAUCUACCUUGUCCUAUGUAGAUAGGCACGGAGUCUAUGCUUAGCUUGCUUAGUCCGGUAGAAGUCGGGUGAUUCCCUGUCACCUGCGAGAUAUAGGUGGAUACCUACUUGUUUAAGCAGUGGUUGCUUUGGGAAAAGAAUAACCAAGUGUGAGAUGGAAUUGGAGACCGGGCAGGGUCUUAUGGUGGGUUGACCAUAGUGCCCCUGCCUGUGUCAAUUAAGGACCGAUCGUUGACGACCCUCUUAUCAUGUUGAACGCAUGCCCCACAUUUAGCUGGAAGGAUAAGUCGUUCCGACCGCGAAGCCGGAGCACUAUCCGGGACGGGAAUCGGCCCGAUGUACGCGCUGUAUUGGUGAUGGUUGAGGAGAACGACGAGGGCGCGGCGCGCAACCUUGGUAUACCUUGGAUACCUCGGUCGCCGGAACGGUCCUCGAGUACGGGCGGUGCCUGUCGAACCCGCGAAUUGGUCCUGGAUAGUGCAAUACGGUGAUCUGUAGCUCACUUGAUCAGUGAGUGUGGUUUGUGUGGGGAAUAAACUCGCCAGCUGGUUAGAAAUCGAUUCGAAUCGCCAUCGCUCCUGGAUAGUGAGCACUUGACAUGAGCUUCGUCCUCGUAGUAAGGACUAUGGAACACUUGGGUUAUAAAGAUAAAUGGUUUCAAGAAUGCUAUGAUGAGGUACUAUCACUUCACUAUAUUUGCUUAUAAUAGUACAGGUGCAAACCUAGAUGAUAGGUAAUGAUACUUUUAACUUGAGCAAAUUAAAGGAAGAAAGAUUUACGUAGGUUAUGAUAAUAAAAUCCUGCGGUUAUGCAAAAUGGUUGUCAGCUACCCCACUAUAUAGCCUUCAUGAUCCUUGAAGAGUCUUUAUUUUAACUUUAUGACGGGUAAGUCUAGCUGAGUACAUUCUCGUACUCAGUGUUCUACUCCCAUGUUGUUUUGCAGAUGGUCAAAUGUACUAUGGUUAUUGCAUCCUCUGUCUAUACCCAGCCAUGGGUGAUGACUAGACCAAGGGCGAUGGUCACUCCAUCUUCUCUUCUGCUUUUGUGGGAAUGACCGAAUUAUGGCACUGUAUCAGACUAAGUGUGUGUGUUGUAUUUUCGAACUAUGAAGCUUCCGCUACUUGAAGAACUGGUUUGUAAUAAUUUUAAGAACUCCAAUGUAUUUUGUGAAUGUUGUAAUCUGGAUGUAUUUGUGGAUGGCGACCGCUAAACUUAUUACAAUCUAGGCUGUUUGUACGCUAUGUGGUUUGAAAUCCUUCGAGAUUUCACAGACUACCGGGAUUAUAUGGGCUUAAGCUCGAUGGUUUGACUAUGGAAAUGGUCACUGUUAGUCUUAAUCUCUUAUAAUUUGGUCGGUUCUGUUACAAAGAUCGUCGACUCGAGUCGCCUUUCCUGAUAAAGAAGGACGACCCUGGUGUUCCAAGCAUCGAGUGCACAAUCAAUGGAUACUCUUUUCAGAAGACACUCUACGACACCAGAUCUGACGUCAACAUAAUGGCCGCAGUCACUUAUCAGCUCCUGCAUGGAACCAUGCCCCUACAACCAAUAUACAUUCAGCUCCAGAUGAUUUUCAGGUCAUUGACAUGGGAGAAGACGAGUAUGAUCCACCCACCAUCCUUGGGAGACCGUUCCUCCACACUAUCAAAGCCAUCAUCUAUAUUGGAACCGGAGAAGUCCACAUGCACUUCCCCUCUGAAGGAGGCAAACCAUCAAGGACGGAUGGCCAGACUACGAAGGAGAAGUGGUAAGGUCUGAAGACAUACAGCUUGAACAGAAUUGUCCUGAGGAGACCGUAGCACCGAGUCAGGUAUGGAGAGAGAAGAUAGUUAUACACGAAGAGGAGGCGCCGCCGGAACCACCGACUACGCCAUCCAGCAAAUCCCAGGAUGACUAAGAAAAACGAAGAGUCCCGUUCGGAGGACUUAAAAACACCGAACGCCUUGCCAAGAGGUAAACUUGGUAGUUAUCCUUUUCCCUUUAAUUAUUUAUUUUCCUUAAAUAGCUUGUUUAGUUAACCGGGUUCAUACUAUCUUCAAAGAAAAAUAAAAAUGUUAAAAACAAUAAGCCCCAUGUGAGUAUACGAGUGGCAUAAAACCCAUAAGUACAUUCACUGUGGCAGCAUAAAAAUAAAAUAAAUAUUUUUUUCUGCUCUAUAAAAAUGAAAAUAUAAAAAUAAGAUUGUGAUCCUACCAAAGAGAGUAACAUUUAUUGAGGAGGCUCAGUGUGAUAAAGGCUAAGAGAUUUUAUGCUAACACUUAACCACUUCUACAAAGCUUUGUUGUCUAUUUGAGCUUCACAGAAUUCAAGGAUCAAAGAAGACUAGCAGACGGAGGACAUCCUAAUCGCUGUUAGAGUGCUGCCGACAUUCAAAUACACCUCCACCUGCUAGCUACAUCAGAAGAAAUUACGUCAAAAUCCAGCAUGGGGGAGAGCACCCCCAUUUAUCCCACUAAGUAUUUCUAUCUAUCUAUCUAUCUUUAUACUUAUACUAUAUUAAAAUAUAAAUAUACAUAAACUAUGAAAAACCAAAUAAAGAUUUUGUGCUUAUAUAAAUAUAUGUCUUUCGCUUAUUGUGUUUAAUAAAUAAAUAAAGUGGCUAUGCUAAUCUGUAUCUUAAUAAUAAAACUCAAGUAUGGUUAUGAUGAAUAGUUGCUCUGCCUAAUUUGCACAUUUUAAGUUCUCUCUAAAGUUUAGACAUAACUGUUAUAAUUUAAAUCUUUCUCUAAACCUAAACUUGUGGGAUGAAAACUUGAUCUGAAGUCUAAGUUGCUAACGGAUACGAUAUGGGAAGGUUGAGCUGCUAUUUAUUUGUUCCUAGAGAUGCUAGAAUUCUGGAGAAUUUUAUCUUUGAAAAUCUUUAAAAUAUUGCAUGAUGAGUUUCUAUAUGAUGAGAGUUUAAAUUCCUACCACAGCCAUAUAUACAUGCUUGCUAGACUUUGAGCCACACAUUUACUAUUUACUGCUUAUGAGCAUUGAGUGUGGUCAAGCUGUGUAGACCCUUAGGAGCUUGUCAUGUGGUUAAAUCAAGAUUUCACUUGCACGUUCACUCAUACAUGCUACUUCUACUCCGGAAGUACCAUCCACAUAUAUCCACCCGUUCUCAUCUCCAGAACCACCUAAAAAUAUUCUACUCCUAAUCUAGGAGAGAAUAACCAAAAAUAUUUCUGUUUUCCCCUAUGAAAUAAAUGCUCAAGUUAUCUUGUUACUACCACUUGCUAUAUUAUCUCAAGAGAUGAGUGCUCUAAAAAAAGAUACGAGGAAAUAAAAAGGAGCAAGUGCUCGGAACCUCGAAAGAAAAGAAAAAGAGUGAGACGAGAGGUAAAAAUGGACAAGUGUCUGACAGUAGAAUUAGGGGUACAAGAUACUCACCUGAGAGAAAAAAAAAUAUAGAGCAUCUCAUUCUCCUCAUAAAGUUUCAGAAAGCAAGGAAGGUAUGUAUCCCCUCAAAAGAGCAAAAGUAGAAUUAGACUUUCACCAUUGUUAUCACCAUCAUCACCAUACACCAUUCAUUCGCCACACAUGCACAUCUUGAUUAAACUUAUUGACUUGUUUCUUUGGAUCCAUGGUUUGACUAUACAAUAAAUGUCUUGUAAGUAUGUAUAUUUUAUCUCCCACCUAUGAGCUCCAGAUAUUAAAGCCUUAUUAGAGUAGGGUGA